GCCGUUUCUAAAGUCAGUCAACCCACAAAAAGCGCCAAGUAACAAUCGGACAUUGAAUAUAUCAUCAAACUUUCAACACAGUUUUUACUACUAUAUAUAACAAUAGCCAACCAUUCUUUCUCUUUCAUAAACCAACCAAAAUUCUUACGAGAUAUUCGAAGAUCAACAGGAGGAAAAGAUAAUCAUGUGUUACGAGAUUAAGUGUCCGGCCUGUGGAAAGACCAGUUGGAGUGGUUGUGGAAGACAUGUUCCUUCAGUUUACAACCAAAUCCCAGAAGGACAACACUGCCAGUGCAAGGAUUGGCCCGGUGUCAAAACUACCGGUGACGGCGAGGGUUCUGUCUCCGGCGGCGACAGCGACGGCGGGGAUUCUAAACCUUCUUCUUACUGUACUAUCCUUUAGAGAAAUUGGGAGUUUAAAUAUGCUUAAGUCUAUUUUUUUUUUGUGCUCUAAAAUAAGCGUUAGCUGAAGUUAUGUCUGUCUAGUAUAUUAAUGUAAUAAAUGUCAAUUGUAAUAGAAAUUUUUUCUCUUUAAUUUUCUACUUUGGGAUUUAUGAAAUACUAUCUUUCACGGCAGAUCUAUCUGGUUAAGGGUAUUCAAAACCAAACCAAAAUUGAUAACCGAAAACUGAAUCGAAAUAGAAGCUUAAUGACUUAUUAAUAUCGCGCGAUAACGAUUUAACUGAUGGAGAAUGGUGAAAUUCUUUUAUUAACGGCUUAUUGUUUUUGGGGGCGAAUUAUUCAAUUUUCUUAAAGGAUAAUCCGUUAACCCGUUAAGAAUAUAUAUAUAUAUAUAUAUAAAACAAAAAAUUCCAUAUAUAUAUUAAAUAAUGUAAAACCCUUUUUCCACUUCCAGUACUCUAUCUCUAUUCUUUAUUACUAAUUUACUAUUAGACAAAUUUUAAUUGCUUGCUUCGCACAUUCUUUUCAAUCCUAUCAACCCAAAAACAAUGUACUUGAUUGCUUCACGUAUUCUUACCACCUCUAGAAGGUGUAGUGGAUGUACCAAAACUUAACAAAUAAAAGAUAGUUUAACGAGUAGAAUCUGUUAUUAAAUUAGGUAUAACACAUAUAUAUGUAGGUUUUCUUGCAUGUAAAAAAAACAUCAGUCCGCACACAUUUCGGUAGGUGUUCUUGAAUUGUUUAGAAAUUAGAGCGACAUCUAAUGAAAAUUGGAGCAACAUUAGCAUACAUUUGAAGGAAGACGAAGCAAAUUUUGGACCAUCGCUAAAUUUGGUAAAUUGUGUCAUGUGAAAUAUAGAUAGAAUUAUGCCGAUAACUACUCGAUAACUGCCCGUUAAUGUCACGUCCUUUUAAAAAAAAUAAUAAACCUCCCUAAACCCUCUUAAAAAUAAUAAAAAAUUUAGUGAAAGCUUGACAAAGGUUUUUCAAUUUUGAAAGAGACAAAAAUUUGUUCAAAAAGGAAAUAGACUCAGAGUCGCCACCUGACAUGAUUUCGAUGUGUCGGUUCAUCGUUUUUCUAAAAAUAAUAAUUUUCCUUUCAAUACACUUUGAAUUCUAAAACUAAGUCUGCACAAGAGAUUUGGGUAAGUUGGUUCAUAUGACCCGUGGAGAAGGUGUUAGGCACUCCCCAAGUCCCGUGAAGGUAAUAGUUGUGUACUCGAUCUAAUUGGCUGUUAAAAUAUUCUAUUGAGAUAAAAAAAUAAAUAAAUAAAUAAACACAGAAGUUGCUCGAGGUCAUCCCUACCUAAUAAGAGAAAAUGAAAAGGAAAAGAAAAGAAAAAUCCUAAGCUAACCUAUACUACGACUUCCCCGCCAUGCUCUUCAAGGCCUCUAAAACAUUUUCAUAGUUCUUCGGGACAUACCCCGAAUAAUAAUAUAUAAAAAUCUUUCGGGGCAUUUUCCGAAUAAAUUUAACUAAGGAACGACCUCUUGGCUCGAAACAACAAAAAUCCUAUAACUUGCCUACCCGAGUGAUGACGGACUAAACAUAUGUCUACACGGAAAGUAAAUAAAACAAGAAUAAAAGAAAAAGUAAAUAAAACAAGAAUAAAAGAACAAUAUGAUUAUCUUGAAGCUGAAUUUUGUUUAUAUUUUUUCUUCGUUUUUACCCAUCAACCCAAACAAUGAAAUCAAUCCAGAAUAAGUUAAGUUGGAACGUCUCACUUUAAUAAAGCUAAAUCACAUUCGGUUGAAUCAGUAACAUAAAAACACCACAAGAAAGACAUUCUUAUUGCCACUUUCACGUCACUAAAAAUUCUAAUCAUCAAACUCAAUAAAAUUUUAUCAAAGGAUCAAAUGAUAUCACAAACAAAAAUGGAAACCAUCUGAAUCAACCUUCCAGAUGAAUAUGUGACAAAAAUCAAGAGGUAAGAUGUUAAAGAUAGAAGUAGACCUUUAAAUGGUUUUCAAUAGCGCAACUCCUUCAAUAGCUUUACACUCGAUCCAGCGAGGAGAAAAAAAAGAAUCCGUCAACAGGAACUCCACGGAGUAACGAUCAGCAAAAAAAGAUCAAACGAGGGAACCAAAACCCGAAUUUCACCUCGAAUUCACAAAACUUUCGACCUCUUAUUUUCGAUUCCUGCCUUCUCUAAUUACUUUUUAAUUGUUCUCUGAUUGUUCAAAGAGGCGGGGUGUUGUGAAAUUAGUGAGUAACUCAUUGGAUGGUAUAUUUGGAAAUCCAAAUAAUUAUUUGUGUGACCCAUGUUGAAUGUAAGCUGGGAAAAAUUAGAUAUAAGUACAGCAGAGAGGGUAGAGUAUGGGGUAUGCUGAAGUUGUCAAGUGUAAUCUCUUUUUUCUAAUAUUGGAAAUCUUCUAUACUUCCUAUCCCUAAUUCUAUAUCAGUCUAUUUCUCACCUUUUUAUUCUUAUAUUUUCAGUAACAGCGUUCUUACUGUCAUUAGCCUUUGCUUUGUAAUUCCAAUUAUUGUUGAGUUAAUACAAUCAGUUGGUUUGGUUGUUAAUUGGUUUGUUACACGGGGAAAUAAGAAGAAGAAAAUGAGGUGAUAAUAUUCGAAAUCGAAGCCUUUAAUUAAUGUUUCUAUAUCCCUCAGUUCGUUCACUUUACUUCAGGGAUUGGAGACGAUGGCUUUUGGUGGUGUCGCUAUUUUGAAGAUGUCAAGAAGAAGGGAUGUCCUAUGGUGUAAGGUGAAGAAGAAGAGCGGCAAUGGCGGUGGUCUAGCGGCUGAAAACGGCGGAAGCUGCUUGGUGAAGAGAGGAGUUUCGUUGCUUCAACUGGUUUCAAGUCUGCCGCCGCUAUUUCGAAGAAGAAGGGAUCAUUUGGUGUUCUGUCGCGGCUUGUUGUGGGAUUCCGCAGGUUUUGGUUGAACAGCCGCUGUCGGCGAUUCUGGUUGAUGGAAGGUUGAUUACUGGUUGUUGUCCGUGAGGGAGAUGGAGAUGGUGGUUUUGAGACGAGGAAGAUGCAGUGUCGAUGGCGUUUGGAGUUUAGGGUUCUGUUAAGGGGUUUGUUGUUCUGUAUUGUCUUGUUUAAGGAAAAUGAAGUUAGCUAGGUCUAGGGUUUUGGACUUUUUGUGUUAUGGAAGAAGUGAACUCCGAAUUUGGGCCUAAGAUUUGGCUCCAUUAGGCUAAAAAUAUUGGCCUUGUGACAUGAAAAUAAGUACUAAUCCAAUUCAGUCUUUUCUUUUUUACAAAAAUAAAAUUGAUAACAAAAUAUACUACCAAAAAUAGUAAUUAAUCUUAAUUAAUGAGAAUAAACUGUUAAAAUGACAUUAAAUAUGGAACUAUUAAGUAAAGAAAUAUGGAACUAUUUUAUAAUUUUAAUUUUAUUUUUAAAAUAAUGUAAAAGAGUCAAAAUUAGUUGAAAUAACUAUAUUAAGCCUAAAUGAAAUAUUUUACGCUAAAAUGGGUGAAAUUUUGGGGAGGGUCAUAAAUGACAUGCCUAUAGAUGCCCCUCUUUGACUGGAAAUACGAAGUAUUUUCAGACAAAGAAUGACAAGACAUGUUUUUUGACCGAACCCUUAUUUAAAAGGACCAAAAGCUAAAAGAAAGGAGAAUGUGACCGAGCACUGGUAUUUGAGCUGCCUACAUAUUCUUGGCUAUAAAGGAAUCAGGCCACGUGUAAUUCAAAAGAAGAAGUAAUGAUGGAGUAUACCGAGGUAGAGAGUCGAUUGAGGUGCCGUUUCGCCGAGGUUCCGGUCCACGGUUGAGUCUUGAAUGGUUCUUCAUGCAAACAUUAGAUUUGAACCUUGAUGCUCACUAGCUGCAGGUGCUAGUUCGUUCUUCUUCAGCUUUUCCGGAUCAAGACCAAACAUGUAGCGCUCGCGACUUCAACCACGUCUUGAGCAAUUCACAUCUUUUUCUGCUUCUGCAUUUUGGAUUCGCUUCUUUUUUCUUUUCUUUUUUUGCUACUUCUAACUUGAAUUGAAUUUUGAAAUGACUUCCCUCGUUCUCCAGGUGGGCACCUAAUUGCUAUAACUUGAACUGUAUUUCUUCGUUCUCUAGGUGGGUGUCUGCAAUCAAAACAAUAAAAUAAACAAAAGUUUUUGCCCUAGUUCGCACUAUGAAAAUUUGUGAGUUGUUAGCAAAACAGUAAAUCACAAUGCUAUUGUUGCAAUAAUGAGAGUAAAGCUAAAGACUUAACUGGGAUGUGCGUCUCCUGCGAAUCAAACCAAGAAGAUUUGACUAGCAAGUGCGUCUGCUAAGAAUAGAACCUGAAUGACCCGAACUAGGAAGUACGUCUCCUAGGGAUGAAACUUGAAUGAACCAAAACUAGGAAGUGCGUCUCCUAGGGUUAAAACUUGAAUAACUCAAAGCUGUAUGAAUUUUUAGUGAAAUCUUUAAUAGUUUGAGUUAUACAAGUUUUACCCCUAGGAGACGCACUUCCUCGUUUUGGUUCAUUCAAGUUUCAUCCCUAGGAGACGUAAAUGACCCAAACUAGGAAGUGCUUCUCCUAGGGGUACUAUCUCAAUUUAGGAAAUGCGUCUCCUAAAACAAAAUAUAACCUGAGAGACCCAGACUAGGAAGUGUGUAUCCUAGGGGCAAAACUUGAAUGACAAACAAGGAAGUGUGCCGCCUAGGAAUGAACUUAAAUGACCCAAACAAGGAAGUACAUCUCCUAGGGAUAAAACCUCAAUUUAGGAAGUGUGUCUCCUAAAACAUAAAUAUAACCUGAAGACCCAUAUUACGAAGUGUGUCUCCUAGGGGUGAAACUUCAAUGACGAAAGCUAGGAAGUGUGUCUUCUGUGAAUGAAUUUAAAUGACCCCAAAAUUAGAAAGUGUGUCUCCUAAAAUGAAAAUAUAACCUGAACGACCCAGACUAGGAAGUGCGUCUCCUAGGGGUAAAAUUUCAAUGACUCGGGCUAGAAAGUGUGUCUCCUAGGGAAAAAAAUCUCAACUUAGGAAUUGCGUCUCCUAAAAAAAUAUACCCUAACAGAUCCAGACAAGGAAAUGUGUCUCCUAGGGGUGAAACUUCAAUGACUCAAGCUAGGAAGUGCAUCUCCUAGAAAUGAAUUUAAAUGACCCAAAACUAAGAAGUGCGUCUCCUAUGAGUGAAACUCAUUUUAGGAUGUGCGUAUCCUAAAAAGUAUAACUUCAAAAACCUAGACUAAGAAGUACGUCUCCUAGAGGUAAAACUUCAGAUUAGGAAGUGCGUCUCCUAAAACAUAAUAUAACCUAAAAGACUCAAGCUAGGAAGUGCGUCUCCUAGGAAUGAAUUUAAAUGACCAAAGCUAGGAAGUGCGUCUCCUAACAAGUAUAUUCUGAAAGACUCAGACUAGGAAGUGCGUCUCCUAAUGGGUAAAACUUCAACGACUCCAUCUAGGACGUGCGUCUCGUGGGGAUGCAUUUAAAUGACCAACACUAGGAAGUGCAUCUCCUAAAAUAAAAAUAUAACUUGAAAUACCCAGGCUACGAAGUGCAUCUCCUAGGGGUAAAAUCUCAAUUUAGGAAGUGUUUCUCCUAAAACAGAAUAUAACUUGAAAGGCCCAGAUUAGGAAGUGCUUCUCCUAGGGGUGAUGUGUGAUCUUCUCCAUAGCCUUUGCACAAGCAGAAUUGGGGCACUACACCUAAAAGAUUCAAACUUUGUUAUAAACAUAACCUUUAUCCUUGUUUCACACAAAGAAAACUUGUGAGUUUAAAACAGAGUGGUUAGUUUGUUGCCUUGACCUUGAAGGCGGUUGCUUCUACACUUGCCAAGAUAACUUUGAUUUCAACUUGGACGACCUUCACCGUUAUUGACUACCCAUUUUCAUUCAACCCUUAUCACAGAAAAUAUCUCGGCUCCAUUCGAUCCUAAAAUCCUCUAUCUGUUGUAGUUUGCUCAUGAAUUGACAUCUACCGAAACUUUAUUUCACAUAAAUCCCGAAGCAUUUUGAUUGUGACCAACUCAAUGCGUAUACUGUUCUUUCCUAACAUAUGCCAUUUUGAUGUACUGGCCAGAAUCUGCUUUGUGCAAUUAGCAAGCUGGUAACAGAAUUUGAAGUCAUUUAUUACUUGUUCUAACAAACAGACUUGAGAUGGGGCUCAACCAAAACAAGAGGAACAAAAUCGAAGAAAAACGAGAAGACAUAGUACCUAACAAGAAAAUUACAAAGAAGAAACUUAUCAGAUGUGGAUACCAACUCUAAUGACCAUUACAUGAACCUUUGGAUUAUGUGGCUUAUUCUCUUGGGCAAGUCUAAUAUUCAACUCUUGUUGUACCUCUUCGCUGUGAAACUGGGCUUCAGCGCUUCAAUUGUUCCGUCUGUCUAUAAUCCUCAGUCAACUUGUAGUGCCCUGAAGGGUUUUCACUAUCAAGUCUCUCACCUUCGCCUUAUGGUGCCCAUGACGGUUUUCGCCGAUAACACUCUCUCAUUUUAUCCUUUUCUCUCAUUGUGUUGAGAAAAUGGUAUUACCCAUGAUGCAGGAAGAUCAUACUUUCACCACACACUUGAUUUGGCAUCCUCAAAGAUUGGUCGGAAGGNNNNNNNNNNNNNNNNNNNNNNNNNNNNNNNNNNNNNNNNNNNNNNNNNNNNNNNNNNNGAUUUGUCAUCCUCAAAGAUUGGUCGGAAGGUCUUUCUUUGGACCGUAAUAUAGGCUUUUGAAUAGGGUUAGAAAGAAAAUGUGGCAUGAAGGCUCAAAAUAAUUUAAGAUGAAAGGGUUCAAAGUUACAAUAUUUGGAAUCAGGACUUUUGGCAAAAUUAAAACUUCUUCCCCAGUUUCUUGGAGUUUGGGGAAUUAUUAUUUCUUGGAAUUUCUAAUAAAAACUGCCCCACUCUUGACUUCGGGGGAUUAUGCAAUACUUUCUCUGGUGUGACUGAACCCUAAGCUGCCUACGUAUCUUGUGGUGACAAGAAUAAGGUUGAACGUAGUUCAAAAGACAAAGUUAUUUUUUCUUCGUCUUUUUUUAUUUUUUAUUCUUCUUCUUUUUUUCUUUUCUUUUUCUUCUUUUUGUCUUUUCUUUUUCUAUUUCUUCUUUUUCUCUUUUCUUUUUCUUUUCUAGUUCCUAACUCUACUUAUGAUUCCAAAAGAGGGGUAUGAAAUAAAACAAAUUAAGGCUCAAAAGGGGUAGCAAAAGAUAAAAGUAUUUGGGUAGCAGAAUAAAAAGCCUUAAUGCCAAGUGUAUACGUGCAAUUGAAGAUAAGCAAAGAAAUCAUGCAUUUUAUCUAUGGAGGGCAUCAACACAAACAAAAAAGUUUCAAUGGGCAAUACCUUUGUCUCAAUGAAUGAACCUUGCCGAUUCGAAGCAGAUUGACUCAACCUUAUCUUGGUGUGGAAAACACAUUGCAGCACUGGCUUAUUUGCCUAAAACUACUUGAGAGACAUUUCCUUGUAGUAUUCUCUUAUCAACCUUUUGAUUUCCCAGAUUACUGCCUCGGCUUCACUCAAUUAAAAGUUCAGGUCAUCUCAGAAUGCGUGAUCCUUUAAUUGUUUCCUCAAACGCAUCAUUUUAUCAUAAUCAAAACUGUGCCAUUGCUUCAUGAUUAGAAUAACUUUCAAGAUCAUGCUGAGAAUUAUGUGUGCAUUCCAUGUCACUAGAGUCGACAUGAAAAGAUUUAUGAAAAAAUGACCUAUCAAAAAUUGACUAGAAUUAACAGAAAAUAGGAGAUUGCAUUAGACAGAUAUUGGCCCAAGUUUCAGUGGAGUUUUGAAGAUCGACAAAUAAAUUGAUAAAAGGACCUGGUUCAUCUUGUACUACACAGUCUGAAUCAACCAGUGCAUAUUCAGAGCACGUGAGGAAGAUAAUGCACCAAAGAUCAUGCAUCAAUAUCUUCUGAACAUAAUCGAAAAGAUUGCAUUUGGGAUAAGGAGGACAGUCUCCUUAUGUGAAGAGAACUUAAUCCUAAGUUAGGAUAAUAGUUUGAGUUUGUGUUGGCUAAGGACUUGAAUUGUGUACUGAUGAGAAGUGGAGUCUUAAUCAAACUCUAUCUACUAACUCAAUAUAUGAUUACGUUAGUUCUCUUUUACAGGAAAAACACACAAACAGAAGUAAAGAAUAUUCGAGAGAAAAAAGAGCGAGUCCAAUAUACGAGUGUGUUAGUUCACUUUUACAGGCAACACACACAACCAGAAGUAAAGCAUAUUUGAGAGAAAAAAUAGUGAGUCUAAUUUGCAAGCAAUAUAUGCAAGUUACAAGUGUGCAGGCCUACAGCUACAUGAACCUAGAGAAGAACCAGUUCUAUGUGAGUGUUUUAUUUCUAGUUAAAUUGUAGUUCGUUUGUAUAUUGUACCUUUCAGCUUUCCUAGAAGCAAUUGUAUUAAGUACGUUUGUCAUCAAGUUAGAGUUAACUUGAUAGUGUCACAGCAACUGAGGCUGUGUGCUAUACUAGGAUUAGAGUUUAAUCCUUAGGUUUAAGAAGGGUUUUGCAAAUGCUGUUUUGGCUCAUUGAUUUUUAGUGGAGUUUGGGAAAAUCCUACUGAGUAAUAGAUCGUGGUUUUUCACCUUUUGAGCCAAGUGUUUUCCACGUAAAAAUGUCUGUGCACUUUACUUUCAGUCCAUUAUUUCGCAAACUGCAGUAGUCAGAACACUUAGAAGAACGAGGUUCUUCUAACGUGGAAAUUAGGUACCGCACAAAUCACCCCCCUCUUGUGUGUAUUGACGUUUAUUAACAUCAAUUAGUAUUAGAGCGGGCUAGCCUUGAAGAGGCUAACACCUUAUGAGAAGAUCAAGAUGAGUGCACCACCUGGGAACUGGGAAGGACAAUUUACUAAAGGCUUCCACUCUUUAAUGGGCUCUACUAUUCUUGGUGGAAAAAUAGAAUAAAAGACCACAUCAUGGGUGAAGAUUACAAACUUUGGUACAUCAUCACUGAUGGUCCUCUUGCUACAACCAAUAAGAAUGCCGAAGGAAUGGAUGUUCCAAAAAAUAGAGCUGAUUGUACCGCUGAAGACCUAAGGAAGUGGGAGAAAAACGCAAAAGCCAAGAAAUGGCUAGUGUGUGGACUUGGCCCUGAUGAGUACAGUAGGAUUCAAGGCUGUACAACUGCCAAGGAGAUUUGGGACACUUUACAAGAGGCUAGUGAAGGAACACCUCAGGUGAAGAGGUCCAGAGGAACUCUACUGUAUUCUCAAUAUGAGAAUUUUACUAUGAAGUAUGACCAGGGAAAUUUGGGACACUUUACAAGAGGCUCAUGAAGGAACACCUCAAGUGAAGAGGUCAAGAGGAACUUUAAUGUAUUCUCAAUAUGAGAAUUUUACUAAGAAGGAUGGUGGAACUAUCCAAGAGAUGUAUAGUAGGUUCACUACACUGACAAAUGAACUUGAGUCUCUUGGAAGGGUUAUUCUGGAAAAAGACAAGGUAGAGAAGAUUCUAAGUAGAGUUUCGCCAAUCUCCAGGGAAAGCAAAAUCACUUUCAUUCAAGAAUCCAAAAAUAUUGCAACUCUGAAAUUGGAUGAACUGAUUGGAAAUUUUACUGCCUAUGAAUUGAGAAGGCAGACUAUGACCUAACUAGAGUUUUGCAAAUUUCCUAGGAAAGCAAAAUCACUGCCAUUCAGGAAUCCAAAAAUAUUGCUAGUCUGAAAUAGAAUGAACUGAUUGGUAAUUUGACUUCUUAUGAAUUGAGAAGGCAAACUAUGAAGAUGGAUGCUCCAAAGAAAGAAAGAAGUCUGGCUCUCAGAACCUCAGAAGGAUCAGAUCAUGAAGAUGAUGAGAUGGCAAUGAUAACCAAAGACUUCAACAAGUAUCUUAUGUGAGGCAAUGGUUCUUCAAGAGGAUCAACAUUCAACAAACCUAGGGAUCCUGAGAAGCAGACAAACGAUGGUUGAUUUAAAUGUGGAAAGAUAGAUCACAUGAUCAAGAAUUGCCCUCAAUUUGAGAUUGAGUGGAAGAAAGAAAGAGCAGAAAGAAGAAACAGGAAGAAGGAACAAGUUCAACCAAGGAGAAACAAAGGUACUACCAAAGCAAUGUUUGCUGCAUGGAGAGACACGUCAGAUGAAGACUCAGAAAAUGAAGCUGAAGAUGAGCAAACUCUUAUGGCCAUAAGAGAAUCAGAAGAUGAACAGGAGGUAAGUAUUCUAUCUUAAAGAAAAUAUUAAAUUCAUGUCUAAAGAAAAAUUGGCUGAACUCUUGACUUCAUAGAUGAGUCUGAAAUAAUAAACAGUAAGAAGAUGUUCUGUCUAGGGAUUGUGCAAUACUAGAAGAAAAAUGGAAAAGAUUAGAAACUAGGGUUGAUGAGAGUAAUAACUUAAAUACUGAGUUAAAGAACCAGGUUUUUCAACUCGAAAACAGUGUCCUAGAACUCAAGUCUGAAAACUUGAAACAAAAAAUAGGGACAGGAAAGAAAAAGGCUGAUCAAUCAUUUCUCACACUAGAAGAAAAUUUAGGAAAAAUGUAAGAUGAGAUUUGAUAAGAGUUGGAGAAAAAGGCUGAUCAAUCAUUUCUCAUACUAGAAGAAAAUUUAGGAAAAAUGUAAGAUGAGCUGUAUAGGAAAGAUGAAUCAAUCAAGGUCCUUAAAGAAGAAUUAGGAAAGGUGAAGCAUGAACUAGGUAGAACAUGCAAAUGGAACAAGGCUUCUGAUGCACUCUCCUGGCUGCAAAAGCAUCACAGCAGCAACAAGAGAGGACUUGGGUUUGGGAUACAAGCUCCAAAAUGGGAUCCAAAAAACAAGUACGUCACUCUUCCUGAGAAUAAGAUCUGUAAACAUUCUGGUAAGACUGGCCAUUACAAAAAUGAAUGUAAUGCAAAAGAAGUUUGGGACUCAAGCUGCAAAAUAGGAUCUCAUAAACAAGUAUCUCACUCUUCAUGAGAACAAGAUCCGUAUACAUUGUGGUAAGACUAACCAUUACAAAAAUGAAUGCAAUGCAAAAGAAAAGGCCAGUCAAGGAAAGCACAAUCUGCCUGGCUGGGCAAAGAAAAAUUUAAUUCAUCCUUUUGCCCAUACAAAGGGACCCAAACUAGUUUGGGUUCCUAAUACUAACCCUUGAUUUCAUUUUGCAGGUCCAAGUGAAAGGAAAUAGCCAAAUUUGGUACAUGGGUAGUGGCUACUUAAAACAUAUGGCUGGUAACAAUGACUGGUUUCUUUCACUUGAGAACCUAAAUUGUCAGAGUGUGUUAAUUAAUGAUCCCCUCCUUUGGCACAAAAGACUUGGUCAUGCUAGUUUAAAUCAAUUAAACAAAUUAGUAUCCAAGGACUUGGUGAUAGGGUUACCUAAUAUCAAGUUCAAGGAAGACAAAAUUUGUGAGGCAUGUGCAAAGGGGAAGCAGGUAAGGUCAUCCUUUAAACCCAAGAAAAUGGUAAGCUCAUCCAAGACGUUGGAACUGGUUCAUAUGGAUCUCUAUGGUCCAACGAGAGCCAUGAGCAGAGGUGGUAAAAGAUAUGUUAUGUUGCUUGUUGAUGAUUAUUCUAGAUUUACAUGGAUGCUGUUUCUAACUUCUAAAGAUGAAGCAUUUGAAAUGUUCACAGCGUUUAUUAGAAAAAUCUAGAAAUAAUUAGGAAAUCAACUUGCAUCCAUUAGAUAUGAUCAUGGAACUGAAUUUGAAAAUGCAAAGUUUCCUGAAUUUUGUGAUGAAAAUAGGAUAGAUCAUAAUUUCUCUGCCCCUAGGACUCCUCAUGAAAAUGGGGUAGUUGAAAGGAAGAACAUGACCCUUGAGGAUAUGGCAAGGACCAUGUUACUUUCCAGUAAGAGGGUAGUUGAAAGGAAGAACAUGACACUUGAGGUUAUGGAAAGGACCAUGUUACUUUCUAGUAGACUACCUCAUAGUUUUUGGGCAGAGGCAAUAAAUAUUGCAUGCUAUAUAAUAUACAUGUGUAUAGCCAUACCACUGGUAGAGAAAACUCCCUAUGAGUUACUUAAAGGGAGAAAACCAAACAUAUCCCACCCAAGGGCUUUUGGUUGCAAGUGUUAUAUACACCUUAAUGGCAAAGAUUCCCUUGGUAAGUUUGAUCCCAGAAAUGAUGAGGGAGUGUUCUUGGGAUAUUCUUCACAUAGCAAAUCUUAUAAAGUGUUUAAUAAAAGAACUCUAUGUGUAGAAGAAAGUGUACAUGUUGUUUUUGAUGAAACUAACAUUAUUUCUGAGAGACAGAAACAUGAAGAUGAAGCCAUUGGACUGGUAAGACAGCUGAUUCAAGUUAAAGCACAAGUCAAGGAGGCAUCCAAGGAAUGAUCAGGUGAUGUAACAGGUCCUUUCACCCUGGGCAACCUAACAAGGGGAACCAAUAUGAGAGAAACUGCACAAAAUCUUUUAAAGGAUCCUACACUUGAACCUGUUCCUCUACAACAUAAUAAUGAAGGAGCAGCUAGCAGAAACCAGUUGGUGGGAAAAUCUUGCAGGUACCUGAGUUCUCACCCCAUUGAGAACAUAAUCAAUGAUCCCACAUCUGGAGUCAAGACUAGAUCACAACUGAAUAUGUGCAUUUGAUGCCUUUUUGUCCCUAAUUGAACCUAAGAAUGUGAGUGAAGCUCUACAAGAUGUGGAUUGGAUCAAUGCUAUGCAAGAAGAAUUCAAUCAGUUUGAAAGAAGCCAAGUCUGGCACUUGGUACCAAGACCUAAGGACAGGUCAGUCAUUGGGACAAAAUGGGUCUUCAGAAAUAAGCUGGAUGAAGAUGGAACAGUUACAAGAAACAAGGCAAGGUUGGUGGUUCAAGGUUAUAGUCAAGAAAGACUAGAUCACAACUGAAUAUGUGCAUUUGAUGCCUUUUUGUCCCUAAUUGAACCUAAGAAUGUGAGUGAAGCUCUACAAGAUGUGGAUUGGAUCAAUGCUAUGCAAGAAGAAUUCAAUCAGUUUGAAAGAAGCCAAGUCUGGCACUUGGUACCAAGACCUAAGGACAGGUCAGUCAUUGGGACAAAAUGGGUCUUCAGAAAUAAGCUGGAUGAAGACGGAAAAAUUACAAGAAAUAAGGCAAGGUUUGUGGUUCAAGGUAAUAGUCAAGAGGAAGGCAUCGAUUAUGAUGAGACUUUUGCUCCAGUUGCUAGACUUGAAGCAAUUAGACUUCUCAUAGCCUUUGCAGCACAUAUGGAAUUAACUCUUCAUCAAAUGGAUGUGAAAAGUAACUUCCUAAAUGGCUAUCUCAAAGAAGAAGUGUUUGUGAAGAAACAUCUUGGAUUCGAAAGCAAAGAAUGUCUUGAUCAUGUAUACAAAAUGGAUAAGGCUGUUUAUGGUCUCGAGCAAGCUCCAAGAGCUUGUAUGAAAGAUUGUCAAAAUUCAUUCUGGAGCAUGGGUACAAAAGAGGUAAAAUUGAUAGUACCUUGUUCCUAAAGGAAAAAGGUAAAGAUCUUCUUGUUGUACAAAUUUAUGUCGACGGCAUAAUUUUUGGGGACACCACAGAGAGGUUGAGCAAGGAUUUUGCAAAACUAAUGGGCAGUGAAUUUGAAAUGAGUAUGUGGGAGAACUCAAUUUCUUAUUAGGGUUGCAAAUCAAACAAAGUCCAAACGGUACCAUGAUUCAUCACCAGAAGUACACAAAACAACUGAUCAAGAAAUUUAAAAUUGAAGAAUACAAAGAAAUAUAUACUCCUAUUGCAACUGCCACAAAGUUAGAUGAUGAUGAACCAGGUUCAAUAGUUGAUCAAAAGUUUUACAAGGGUAUGAUUGGGUCACAUUUGUAUCUUACUACCAGCAAACCUGACAUUGUUUUCAGUGUAGGACUUUGUGCUCGUUUCCAAGCAAAUCCAAAGGAGUCACACUUGACUGCAGUCAAAAGAAUAUUAAGAUACCUAAAAGGCAAAACUGAUAUGUGCUUGUGGUAUCCCAAAGGUAGUAAUUUUUACUUAAUUGGAUAUGUUGAUACUGAUUAUGCAGGUUAUAUAGCGGAUAGGAAGGGUACUUCAGGUAUGGCACACUUCCUAGGAUCUUGUCUUGUAUCUUGGGCUACCAAAAAGCAGAAUUCAGUAGCCCUCUCUACUGCUGAAGCUGAGUAUGUUGCUGCAGCAUCAUGUUGUGCUCAGUUGCUGCGGAUUAAGCAACAAUUGGUAGAUUUUGGAACUGAAGUGGGAUGCAUACCUAUCUUUUGUGAUAACACUAGUGCAAUCAGUAUGACGAAGAACCCUGUUCAUCAUAAAAGGACUAAGCACAUAGAUGUUAGACACCACUUCAUAAGGCACAACUAUGAAAAAGGGCUAAUUUCCAUAGAAUUCUGUGCCACUGAUAAACAAAUAGCUGACAUCUUCACCAAGGCACCAAGUAGAGAAAACUUUGAGAGGAACAUGUUGGAAUUAGGGAUGAUUAAGAUCACCUAAGAGGUCAUGUUCAGAAUGCACAAUGAAUUUCUUUUUUGGUUAGUAGUUCUUAAAUCUUUCAAUAUUAGACUAAUUCCUACUCAGCUUAAUACUUUUAAAUAAGUAUACUCUUGUGACAUGUGGUUAUAUAAUUCACUAAUCUCUUACAAAAUUUCUAUUCUAACAUUUGAGGCAUGAUCAAGAGAAGUGUCAUAUGAAGAACCUGGUUCAUGAAUAUGUACUCAUGAGGAAGGUUAGGUAUGUUUCUAUACAUUGCACAAUUAGAAAAUUUUAAUUUUCAAUCAUGAGCAAGAGUCGUAGAAACUCCAAUCGUCUCAAAAUUCUAUCCGUUGGAAGCCAAUUGGACCAGUUUCUUGUAAUUAGAAUUCUAAGAAUAACGGAACUCUUUUCCUAAACCUUGGGAAUUUAAUUAAUUCUAGGUAGACCAGAACUCUACAACGAUAAGACGUCUACUGACAUCUGAAAAAGUGCCUUCUCUGAAACAAUAAUUACCCCUCUUUAAAAGAUUCUUAUAUCAUAUCACAACCGCCAUUAGCUUCUCAAAUCUCUGAUCAUUUCUUUUGUCUCCAAAACCCUCAAAAAUUACCAAAUUAUUUUAAGCCUUCCACAAAUUCAUCAUCCAAAAUAAGUAAUCCUCAAGUUAAUCCAGGAAACCCACCACCAUUGUCACCCAACACCACCUUAUCCUCUACCCCUCCUGUUGAAUCCCCAAAAUCAAGAUUUCGUCGGACAAAAAUGAUAGCUAGGAAAGCUGUAGAGACUGGGCCUUUGAGAAAAGCUUUAAACAAGAGGUUGCAAGCCAGUCAAAAGAAAGAACCUCAAGCAAAAGUCACUGAGUCCAGCUCCGAGUCGGAUCAAUACAUCUUUGCAAGUGAGGGAGUUGAACCUGGGUCUUUCAAAAAUUAUGCACCUCAAGAAAACCCAACAGAGGUACGAUCCUGUCCUGUUCCUGUGGAUGUAGGUGAAAAGGGAGAAAAUAGAUAUGUCUUGAUAAGGACUGUUAAGGAUAUUUCUCAAUAUGAGUUUGUAAAACAAAUGAAGAAAAAGAGGAAAAAGGUGUUGCCUAUUGUGGAAGUGGGGGAAAUGGGUAUCACAUUCAGGGUGAAGUGAAGCUGGGAAGCUGCGGAAGGGUUGGUAGACUUAAGAAAACAAACUAGUAAACCUAGUCCAUUAGUGGAGGAAACCUUGGCUGACAUGAUGAAGAAGGUGGGGAAUAGCUAUGAUCCCAAUAAACGAAAGUCUUCUUCACAUAAAACUCCUGCUGCUACAAAACCAACAAAGAAAUCCAAGACCGCAUCACCCAAGGUUGCUCCUAGGGGUAGAACAACAAGAAGCGAAGUAAGAGAGUGUGAAGCUGAGUUAAAGAGGGCACUAGAGGAGAGUAGGAAGAUAAGAAUAGAAAAGGGAAAAGGGAAGCUUGAUGAGAGUUCAGAAAUGUGGCUGAGGAGGAUGAAGAGGUGAUGGAACAGGUCCAUCCAGCAAAACAAACUACUGAGAAGGCUCUUAUUGCUAAAUCUAAGGAGACUAGGACUUCUUCCAAGAAGUCUUCAAAAGUUGUACCUGCUGAGUCCUCCCUUGCAAAAAGAACAAGAUCUGCCUCUAAAGGCAAACAAGUGAAAAUGGUUGUAGAAGAAAGAAGAAGAAGAUUACUCUGAGAAGAAGACUUUCUUUCUAACCAAUGAAUGAUGUUUUUUUGGUUCUUGUUAAUCUUGUUCUUAAUAGUUAUUUCUGAGUUGGUUUUUGAUUAACUUGAAGAAUAUGUGUUCAUUUGCAGUUGCCCCAGCGGCCAUGAGUAUAAAUCAACUUCAAGGAUUCAUAUUAUUUAUGCAACUUUUCGAUGAUACCAAAAGGGAGAAGAUAUUGUGCUUAAAAUAUUUUCUCUGAACUAGUGAUGUUUAUGACCUAAAUCUGGCCUCCUUAAUGAUACGUUAAAGCAUUUUCAAAGUGUUGAUUUCAGCCAAGUUUACAGGUUCCCAGAUCACAAUAAGCAUAGAGUUUGUCAUCAUCAAAAAGGGGAAAUUUUUUGGCCCAAGUUACAGUGGAGUUUCGAAGAUUGACAAAUAAACUGAUAAAAGGACCUGGUCCAUAUUGUACUACACAGUCUGAAUAAACCAGUGCACAUGCAGAGCACGUAAGGAAGAUAAUGCACCAAAAAUCACACAUCAAUAUCUUCUGAGCAUAAUCGAAAAGGUUGCAUUUGGGAUAAGGAGGAUAGUCUCCUUACGGGAAGAGAACAUAAUCCUAAGUUAGGAUAAGAGUUGGAGUUUGCGUUGGAUAAGGACUUGAAUUGUGUACGAAUGAGAAGUGGGGUCUUAAUCAAAUUCUAACUACUAAGUAAAUAUAUUAUUGUGUUAAUUCUCUUUUACAGGCAACACAUACAAGCAGAAGUAAAGCAUAUUUGAGAGCAAAAAGUGUGAGUCUGAUUUGUAAGAAAUAUAUGCAAAUUACAAGUGUGUACGCCUACAGCUACAUGAAACUAGAGAAGAACCAGUUCCAUCUGAGUGUUUUAUUUCUAGUUCAGUUGUAGUAGGUUUGUAUAUGGUACCUUUCAGCUUUCCUAGAAGCAAAUGUAUUAGGUACUUUAUGUCAUCAAGUUAGAGUUAACUUGAUAGUGUCGCAACAGCUGAGGCUGUGUGCCACACUUGGAUUAGAGUUUAAUCAUUAGGUUUACAAAGAGUUUUGUAAAUGGUGUUUUGGCUCAUUGAUUUUUAGUGGAGUUUGGGAAAAUCCUAUUGAGUAGUAGUUCGUAGUUUUUUCACCUUUUGAGCCAGGUUUUUUCCACAUAAAAAUAUUUGUGCACUUUACUUUUAGUCUAUUAUUUUGCAAACUGCAGUAGUUAGAACACUUAGAAGAACCAGGUUCUUCUAACGCAAAAAUUAGGUAUCACACAAAUAACCCUCCCUAUUGUGUGGUAUUGACGUUUAUUAACAUCAACAGAUGAUUAAAGGGUUUGAAUAAGACAAGAAAAAUAGACAUGGGUUACAACCCUGGAACAUUCCUAAAUAACACUAGACGAGUUACUACGACUAAACAAACUUGACAAAAUAAGAAGAAGAAGAAGAAUUUGAGCCACAAGAUAAUAUCUGGAUUACAAUCCUGAAAUAACGUGGAUAAACACAAAUGAGCAAAAUAAACUACCAAAACUCCUCCCUGGCCAGCCAAUAAAGGAGUGUCUCUCCAAUUACCAAGCUUCACAUCUUAGCCACUGGGUUGCACAUCAAAAUUACCGGGACCUUCACCAAUUUCAACAUCAUUAACUUCAGUCAGCAAGUUCUCGAGAGGAUUCUCAUACUGCAUGUCACCAUGCAUCUUCCCAACAAUGUGUGCAUCAUCAUGUGCAGGUAAAGGAUUCUGUGUAAUGUUCUGGGUGUCACUGUCUUGGAACACAGUUAUCCCUUCUUGAAUCAUUCUUUCUAUCUCCCUUUUCAAAGAAUGUCAAUCUUCAAUGCUAUGCCCUCGAACAUUAGAGUCGUACAUGCAUCGCAUUAUAGAUCAAAAUCUUUUGCAUAUGGGUCUGGAGUAUAGCCAAGGAGCAGCUCAAUCAGGCAAGAUUGUUUUAGCUUUUCAAUCAAGCUUGUGUAGGAUUCUCUGAUUGGCGUGAAACUAUUUCUUUGCCUUUGUUCCCCUCUAUUCCCCUGUUUCCUAGGGUUUUUGGGUGCUCGAAAAUGUUGUGAAGGCGAAAGAGUAUUAUGUGAUGCUGGUGCUCGCCAUAUGUAGUGACCCAAUGGCUGGACAGAGGAUCGAACAUAGUUAGAGUGAUAGUACUGAAGUGGAUUUUGUAGAGCUCGGGGAAAGGUUAGGGUUGGGGUUGAGGUUGAGAAUAUUGGUGAGACAGACUCUUGGGCCAUGUCGUGAUCUUGAGACAACCAUGGCAAUAUUAUCAUGUUUCUUCUGACCCAGAAAGCUUCCUGUGUCAUUCUAAAUUGCCUAUGUUGUGGCUUUUAAGGUAGAAUAGCUCACAAUCUUGCUUGACUUCACUCCCUCUUCCACUACUUCUCCCAUAUUUACCACAUAAUUGAAAGGCUUACCAACGACUGAGAUCAAGUGGCCAUAGUAAGUGAGCUACAGGGUUCGAAGAAAGUAUUUAACCAUCUUAUCUUCUUCCAUCGGAGGAUUGACUUGUGCAACUUGCUCCCUCCAUCGGAACCCAUAUUCUCUAAAGCCUUCACUGAGUUUCUUUUCCGUGUUGGUGAGAGAUAAUAGAUCCGGGACAAUGUCUAUAUUGUAAUGAAAGUGCUGGGCGAAGGCUUGAGCCAUAUCAUCCCAUGUGUACCGUCCGUUGGUGCCCUGGUGGGUGUACCAUUCUAGAGCUGCCCCACUCAGACUCUGGCUGAAGUACGCCAUCAGUAAUUCGUCCUUUCCCCCAGCGCAUCUCAUCUUGCUGCAAUAACCUCUCAAAUGGGCUACAGGAUCCCCAUGUCCAUCAUACAAGUCAAACAUGGGCAUCUUGAACCCGACAGUCAAUUGGACAUAAGGGAACAAACACAAAUCCUUAUAAGCCAUACUCACCUAGCUUUCUAUCCCCUGCAUAUUUCUCAAUGAUUGCUCCAUUAUCUUUACUUUCUUAAACAUUUCCUCUUGUUCCGCAUUCCUGGGUUGUUUCUCAAUUUCAACAUAAGGCUCAAAGUAAUGAGGGUAAGAGUAAGGAUCUAGGACUUUGAAGGUGUGUUCAGGGGCAUAGUAUUGUGUAUCUGGAGCUGCGCUUGCAGUAGUUAUGGCCGGUGGAGCAUGAAAUGUUUGGGAGGAAGUGCCAGGGUAAUUGUGGUUAGGGGUAAAGUCCGAUGCAUGUUGAGUAAAUAGGUGAACAGUAUUGGGCAUCUGGGAUUGGGAGAGUGGCGGGAUAAUUGCAUGGUUCUCUGUGUAGUUAGUGGGGAACGAAGGCGGAGGAUGCCCCAUGAUCCAAAACUAGUAAAUUUCUGCCAUCUGCUAUUUCAAUUUUUGGACCUCCUCAUUCAAUUCAGAUUCCGACUUCUCAACCUCCCUCGACGGGUCAACAACUGUUAUGUCCAAGUCUUUGCUAGCCAUAGCUACUUGACUCUUUGACCUUGUGUUAUACUGAUGACUCACUAGAAUGCCAAAAACUAACUACCCUCUGUUAUAAUAACAAUGAAAGUAACAAAGAGGUCAAAACAGAGCCAACAUGUUAGCUUUGAGCAUUUAUCAGAUAGAAAUAUCACAUCGCGUGCAAUACCCCUAGCAAGAAUUAACGGUUCUAGAAUGGCUUCGAGGGUCACAAGGUCAUUUGGCAUCAUCCCAGUUUCACUCUUCUUGCCCCUUUUCCUCUUAAUAUUUUUUCUCUUAACGCUUCUUGGUUUUUCAUUAACUUUUUCCUUCUUCUCUUUCCGAUUAUCGCUCUUUUCUUUCUUCUCACUUCAUGUCCCUCAAUUUCAUCUUUUUCAUUCAUUUUUCAAAUUCAAAACAGGAGGUACGAUAAUGAGAGGCUCGACAAACUAAACUAUUCUAUGAUAGCUCUGACACCAAGUAAAUGAAUGAAUACUGCUGUACAAGACAAGUAAGAGAAAGCAUGAAAACAGACUCAAAAUAUAGAAAGGCUCCUUAAGCAGCUCCUGAAUGCCAUCCUGGGGUAUCAAUCAUGCUCAAGUUCUGGUACAUAAAUCCAUACCUGAAUGAGAAAAAUAAUACCAAAUAGAUAAGUGACUCGUGACACUAUGUGAGACCACAAUACCUCUUAUUGGACACAUGCAAGAUAUGAUUGGACUAUUUUUGCAAAUUAACCUAUGUGGCCCGGAGUGGCUAGAAGUGAAAACUCAACAAAUGCGACUACCCAGAUAUGAAAAUAAUACCUUAAUAAUGCUUAUAUGGAUUCAACUCCCAAUAAUCAUGGCCCAAAAAUUAAUUUGCAGAAAUGAACCAUUUCGCAAAAACGACCGAUAUGGCCAUAAGUGGCUAAAGAUGCAAACUCAAAAGGACAGACCUUAAAGUCAUAUGACACAUGGUUGUGGACUUCAAAUCCUAAAACAUGGGUUAUUGAACCACUUUUGCAAAAAUGACCCCAUUUUGCAAGAAUGACCGACGGGGCCAAAAAUGGCUAAACAUGCAAAAUAUGGCUAAGACCCCGCAAAGUCAAUAACCUAAAACUUACUAGGAAGAUCGGACCCUAUGUGGGUUGCCUAAAUAUCAUGUCUCGAAAGACGAGAAUUAGGAUCGCGUAGUUCGGGAAGAUUGGACACAAGAGAAAACCUUUAAAAAAAUGCAACUAAUUUGGAGAAUCAUAUUUUUUGUCUUUUUGAGAAAUGAUGAAAAAUGUAAAAUCUUUUUGGAUUUUUUCCUCCUUUUUUGAGUUUUGGAAAAUGAUUAAAAAUCUAAAAUCUUUUUAGAUUUUAUUUUUUUUCUUUUUUUUCUUUUUUGGAACACAAUAGAUAAGUGUAAAAUCUUUUUGAAUUUUCUUUUUUCAUUUUUUUUGAAUUUUGGAAAAUAAUGGAAAAGUAUAAAAUCUUUUUGAUUUUUCAUUUUUAUUUUGAUUUUGAUUUUUGUAAAACUAUGAAAGAAAAAUACGAAUGCGCCCUACUUGCAUCAUUUUUCACCCUUCUUUGCCAACCAUCGAUCCGCUAAAUGACCAUUUUACUCUCAAAGAUACAACAUGCAUCAUAUUGGGAUGAUUGAGAGUCUUUUUGGGCCACAUAUCCAUUUUGACAAAAUUUGGAUAGCCUUCCUGUCACGAUCCUAGUUCACAAUUCGUGAACAUGUCAUGAUGGCACCUAGUCACUAUGACUAGGUAAGCCUGAAAGUGCAGAAACAAGAUCAUUUGCGGUAAAUAAUUAUAAAACUGGAUAAACUUAAGGAAAACUGUAUAUAAGUGUUAUUCGGUAUAUACAACUCAGCAGCACAAGUCUAAAUCAACAAUCCCAAAACCCAAAAAUUCAGGGGCAACACAUGUUAUAAAAAUGUAUAAUAAAGGGCUCUCAACUCUACAAGCAUCUACAUCAAAAAAAUACAGGAAGCUAAGCACCAUUUGAUAGAAUAAGAGGGAGACUGUUCGGUCUCCGGAUGCGGCAGAUAUACCUCAAGUCUCUGUAGCUCUCCCUAAUCACUAAUAGUGCACCUGAGUGGAUGUACCUGGAUUUGCACAUCAAAAAUAUGUGCAGAAGAGGCGUAAGUACACCACAGUGGUACUUAGUAAGUGUCAAGCCUAACCUCGAUCGGGAAGUGACGAGACGGUUAGGACCCUACUGAGAUAAAAUAUAUUAAAUAAUAAGAUAACGAAAAUAGUUUAAAUAAAGUCUACAGUGAGGAUCUAAACAUGAAAAAAGAGUAAAAGCAGUAACAUAAAGCAGAAACCAGACAAAUGAAGGAAACACAACUCGCAACAUGGAUAGUAACCGAGGAUCUCCUGGUAUCCCGAGGAUCUCUCGGUAUCCUCAUAUUAUACACGAGGGAUCUCUUGGUAUCCUGAGGAUCUAUUGGUAUCCUCAUCUUAUACACGAGAGAUAUCUUGGUAUCCUGAGGAUCUCUUGGUGUCCCUAAUAUAUAUAAAACAUAUGUGCCAGGGAUCUUUUGGUAUCCCGCACUCUCUAUCCAGAACAUAACACUUACAAGGGAUCUCCUAGGAAACGGUCCCGUAGUCCCAAAUUAAAUGCCCAAUAACAACUCAUAAUCCCGGAAUAAAUGUUAAAGUAAGAACAUGUAAUAGUAAAUUCUAGCCUAACAUGCUUCACGGAGUACAAACAAUACAGUUAAACAAAUAAGCAAGUAAGUCAACUAAACAUGCUUCUUGAAGCUAGCACAGUUUAAACUCACAAUCCAAAAUGAACAAAUAAACAACAAUCUCAAUUUAAAUAUUGCAAGUAGAAACAUAUUUACAACAAUUAGCUCAAGUACGCGCGCGUCACCUCACGUACGAGGCAUUCAAAUAUCAAAGAUCAUUUCCUAAGUGGAAAGGUCUCCCACCCAAGGUUAGAAAAGCCACUUACCUCGAACCGGCUCAAAACUCAACUAGGAACCACGCCUUUGCCAUGAGUAUCCGACUCCAAAUGGAUAAACUAUAUUCAAUUCAAAUAUAUAUCGUAAAUAACAUUGCAAAACAACUGAUUCCGCUAUUAAAUUUAAAGCAAAGGCGCGAAAAUAGGUAAAAUAACCAAAAUUCCCCUGAGGCCAACGUCUCAGAAUUGAAUAAUUUAUACAUUUUCCGAACCCUCAUACUCUCACGAUUCUAACCAUAUAAAAAUCUCCCAAAUCGGAGGUUAUAUGCCCACUAAAAACUCAAUAGUUUAGCCUAUGAAGUUUCACCCAAAUUUUCCAAUUUUUUAACCUAAAUUCAAAUUUUAUUGAUGGAUUUUACUACAAAAUGAUGAAAUAUAACUAGAAAAGAUUAGAGAAACGUUACCCAAUAAUCUUCUCUUCAAAACCCUCUAAAAUCGCCCUUCCUCGAGCUCAAUUUGAUUCUUUCUAACUUAUGAAAACUAACCCUCGAAUUUCCCUUUCCUGAACAGUGAUUACACUUCUGCGGUGCAGUCCCUUUUAUGCAGAAUUCUGGUCACUUCUACAAAUUCCUUUAAAAUACAAAAUCUGCUUCUGCGAUUCCCAUCUCGCAGAAGCAGAUUCGCUACUGUCGAAAAUUCUUCCGCUUCUGCAGUUGCUGAGGGAGAUGCCCAGCCCACUUCCGCUAUGGCCUAACCCACUUCUGUAGCUCUGCUUCAGCGGUUCCCAAGCCGUAGAAGCAAAAAUAGUUGAGGACUGAAGAGUUCAGCUGCUGCAACAUUUUUCUAACUCCAAAAAUGCCUAGUUGAGCAUCCGAAACACACACGAGGCCCUCAGGACCUCAAUCAAACCCAUAGACACGUUCGAUAAAAUCAUUCAAACUUAUACUAAUCCUUAAAACACCUAAAAUAAUACCGAAAACUCGAAUUAAUCAAUGAUUUAAGCCUAAGAACUUCAAAUUUCAUCAAAACAUGCUUUCGAUCAAAAACCUAUCUAAAAGCAUGUCCGAAUGACCUGAAAUUUUGCACACACAUUCUAAAUGACAUGACGAAGCUACUGCAACUUUCGGUAUCUCAUUACGACCCUUGGAUCAAAAACUCACUAUCGGAGUGGAAACCUUAAAAAUUCAAACUUUAGCAUUUCAAGGCUAAAUAAGCUACGGACUUCCAAAAUAUAUUCCGGACACGCUCCCAACCCUGAAAUCACCUAAUGGAGCUAACAGAACUAUCAAUUUUCCAUUCCGAGGUCAUCUUCAUGUUGUUUCGACUAUGAACCACUUUCCAACACUUAAGCUAUUAUUUAGGGACUGACUGUCCCAAACUCUCUGAAACACAAUACUGAAUGUCCCGACAAACCAAAAUAGCAAAAAUGAACUUAGGGGAAGCAGUUAAUGGGGAAUCGGGGUGUAAAUUUCAAAAACGAUCGGCCGGGUCAUUACAUCUUCAUACACUUAAACAUUCGUUUGCCCUCGAACGAGCAUAUAGAACAUAGCUGAAGUACUGAAAAGAUGAGGCUAUCAGAUGCGCAUAACCCGCUGGAUCUCCCAAGUCUCCUCCUCGCUUGGCUAACUCCACCAUUGAACCUUUAUUGAAACAAUGUUCUUUAACCUCAACUUUCUGACCUGUCUAUCCAAUAUAGCCACUGGCUCCUCAACAUAAGAUAGAUCUUUGUCAAACUGGACUGAGGAUAAAUCCAACAUGUGUGCCGGAUCACCGGGAUACCUUCGGAGCAUCGAAACAUGAAAUAUCGCAUGAACCCCAACAAAACUGAGUGGUAAGGAAAGCACAUAAGCAACCUCCCCAACUCGCCUCAAAAUCUCAAAAGGACCAAUAAAUCUCGAACUCAACUUCCCUUUCUUCACAAAUGUCAUGACGCCUUUCAGAGGCAAAACCCGAAGCAGAACCCAUUCACUAACCAUAUAGGAAACAUCACGAACCUUGCAGUACACAUAAAUCUUCUCUCUAGAUUGGGUUGUACGGAGUCUAUCCUCAAUCACCUUAACCUUCUCUACCGCAUCCUGAACCAAAUCUGCGCGCAAUAGCCUAGCCUUACCCGUCUCAAACCAAACCAUUAGGGAUCUGCAUCUCCUAUCAUAUGAAGCCUCAUACGCCGCCAUCUGAAUACUGGACUGAUAGCUAUUUUUGUAAGCAUACUCUGCCAUUGGCAAGAACUAAUCCCAAGACCCUCCAAACUCAAUCACACACGCACGGAGCGUAUCCUCAAGAAUCUGAAUGGUGCGCUCGGACUGUCCGUCCGUCUGGGGGUGAAAUGUUGUGCUCAUCGUCACCUGAGUACCCAACUCGUGUUGAAUGGCUCUCCAAAACUGUGAUGGGAUUUGAGUACCUCUGCCCGAAGUAAUAAAAACUGGGAUGCCAUGCAGGCGAACAAUCUCCCCGAUUAAAUCUCUGUCAACCGCUUCGAUGAAUAAGUAGUACCCACGGGAAUGAAGUGCACAGCCUUGGUCAGCCGAUCAACAAAAACCUAAAUGGAAUUGAAUUUCCUCGCAGUCUGAGGGAGACCAACUACAAAAUCUAUGGUGAUCCUCUCCCAUUUCCAUUCCGGAAUCUCCAUCUGCUGAAGCAACCCACCCGGUCUGUGGUGCUCAGCCUUGACCUGCUGACAAUUUAGGCAUCUAAAUAUAAAACCCUUUAUGUCCUUCUUCAUCAUCCUCCACUAAUAGUGUUGUCUCAACUCCUGAUAGAUCUUCGUGGCACCCGGAUGGAUGGAAUAACGUAAACUAUGAGCCUCUGCCAAUAUCAACUCUCGAAUAUCAUCAAUAUAGGGUAAAAAAAUCCGACCCUGCAUCCUCUAACCCCGUCAACUCCAAUGAUCACAUCCCUGUAUCACCAUGCUAAACUAUGUCCCUAAGGACAAGUAAAUGAGGGUCAUCACACUGUCGAUCUCUAAUACGAUUGAACAAUGAAGACUGAGAUACCACACAGGCUAGAACCCGACUGGGCUCCGAAAGAUCAUAUAUCACAAGCUGGCUGGCUAAGGUCUAAACACCCAUCACCAUAGGCCUCUUUGAAGUUGGUAAAUAUUCUAAACUUCCCAAACACUCCCCCCGGCGACUCAAGUCAUCAGCUACCACAUUGGCCUUGCCCUGGUGAUAAAGAAUAGUAAUAUCAUAAUCCUUCAUCAACUCCAACCAUCUUCUCUAGCGCAAAUUUAGAUCUUUUUUCUUGAACAAGCAUUGAAAACUCUGAUGGUCAGUGCAAAUCUCACAAGUCACACCAUACAAAUAAUGACGCAGAUCUUCAAGGCAUGAACAAUAGCAGCUAACUCAAGGUCAUGGAAAGGGUAUUUCUUCUCAAGUGCCUUCAACUUUCUGGAUGCGUAGGCCGUCACCCUACCGUCCUGCAUCAUCACUGCUCCAAGGCCAACCCGUGAGGUAUCACAAUAAACUAUAUAGGACCCCGAAAUAGUAGGCAAUAUCAAAAUAGGGUUUGUAGUCAAGGCUGUCUUGAGCUUCCGAAAGUUCGCCUCACACUCCUUUGUCCACUAAAAUGGAGUAACCUCCUAGGUCAAUCUAGUCAUAGGGGAUGCAAUCGAUGAAAACUCCUUCACAAAUCGAUGAAAAUUCCUUCACAAAAUGAUGGUAAUAACCUGCCAUACCAAGGAGACUGUGAAUCUCUGUAGCGGUUGAGGGAAUGGGCCAACUCUGCACGGCCUCCACCUUCUUCGGAUCCACUUGAAUGCCCUCACUCGAUACCACAUGGCCUAGGAAUGCCACAGAACUCAACCAAAACUCACAAUUUGAAAACAUUGCAUAUAACUUCUUCUCUCUCUCAAGGUCUGAAGCACUGUUCUUGGGUGUUGCUCAUGAUAUUUCUGACUCCAAGUGUAUACAAGAAUAUUAUCUAUGAAAACAAUGAAAAACGAUUCGAUAUAGGGCCUGAAUACACUAUGCAUCAAAUGCAUAAAAGCUGUUGGGGCAUUAGUCAGCCCAAAUGACAUAACAAGGUCUUAACAAUCAGACUGAGUCCUGAAGGAAGUCUUCGAGAUAUUCGGCUGUCGAAUCUUCAACUGGUGAUAACUUGAGCGCAAAUCGAUCUUAUAAAACACAUGGGCGCCCUGAAACUGGUCAAAUAUAUCAUCCAUACGAGUCAAAGGAUAACGGUUCUUCACCGUAACCUUAUUCAACUGACGAUAAUCGAUACAUAUGCGCGUGAAACCACCCUUUUUCUUCAUAAACAGGACAGGAGCACCCAACGAUAAAAUAAUGGGUCGAGUAAAACCCUUAUCAAGCAAUUCCUAUAGUUGAUCCUUCAACUCCUUCAACUCAGGACGAUCCAUACGGUACGGAGGAAUGGAAAUGGGCCGAGUGUCAGACAACAAGUCAAUGCCAAAAUCAAUGUCUCUAUCAGGUGGCAUACCUAGAAGAUAAGCUGAAAACACAUUGAGAUAAUCCCGUACCACUGGAACAGAAUCAACAUAAGGGUUAUCAACACUGACAUCUCUCACAUAAGCUAAAUACGCAGCACACCCCUUCUCAACCAUACGUUGAGCUUCAAUAAAAUAGAUAACUCCUCUGGGAGUGUGAUCUAAAGUAUCACUCCACUCAAUACGCGAAAUACCUAGAAUAGCCAGCGUCACGGUCUUGGCGUGACAAUCAAGAAUAGCAUGAUGGGGCGACAUCUAGUCCAUUCCCAAAUUAAUAUCAAAGUUAACCAUAUCGAGUAACAAUAUAUUUGCUAUGGUCUCAAAACCACUAAUAGUAAUCAAACACGACCGAUAAAUGUGGUCCACAAUAAGAGAAUCUCCUACAGGAGUAGAAACAUAAAUAGGGGAACUCAAGGAAUCUUGGGCUAUACCCUAAUGUAAGAGAAAAAUAAGAAGACACAUAAGAAUAGGUGGAUCUUGAAUCGAAUAGAACCGAUGCAUUUCUAUGACAAACCAGUAUAAUACCUGUAAUGACAGAUAUGAGGAAACAGCCUCGGUACGAGCAGGAAUGGCAUAAUAUCUGGCCUAGCCUCUCUCUCAAAGGUGACCACUACCUCCCCGAUCUCCACCCCUAGUUAGCUGGGCAGAUGGGGUAGGAACUGUAGCUGUGAUCGUGGCCUGAGAACUCAUAGGAGCACGAUGUGGUUGAGCCGCCUGUGGAGGUGAACUCCUCCCAAGUCUAGGGCAAUCCCUCAUCACAUGAUGGGUAUCACCACACUCAAAAUAAGCUCUGGGAGGACGUGGUAUCUGUGACUGGCUAAGGCCAGGUCUGCUAGACUGACAUCUGAAAGCACCCCGUGCAGGAGGCGCGCUAGAAAACGGAGGUGCAUAGUAAGACUCCUAGGGUCCAUGAGGAGCUGGAGCACUGCUGGCUGAUGGAAGAUAUGAAUGAAUGGUAUAUAACCCCCACCAUGUCGACCUGUUGUUGGGGUACGGGAACCAGAGUAGUAGCUCGACUCUCGAGACCUCUUGGCCUCUCUCUUCUAUUGCUCCCUAGAGAGCAUACCUCAAUCCUCCUAGCAAUUCUGACUAGAUACUGAUAAGGAAUGUCAUCUCCAACUCUUGAGCCAUGGUAGAUCUCAUGGGUGGAAUAAAGCCCUCAAUGAUCUGGCAAACACUCUCACGGACAGUAGCAACCAAGUCUUGUGCAUACCUAGCCAAUUUGGUAUAACAGAUGACAUACUCUGAAAUAGUCAUAGCACCCUUGCGCAAAUGCUCAAACUCUGAGCGCCAUGCAUCAUGAGGCUCUGGGAAACAAACUCUCACAGAAACAUAUUAGAAAACUGGUUCCAAGUUAGUGAAGCAUCCUCACCCGGACUGUCUAUCUCAUAAGUGUGCCUCCAAUCAUAUGCGGUUCCUUGAAGCUCAAAGGCAGUAAAGGAAACCCCAUUGGACUCUACUAUAUCUAUUGUGCAAAGAAUAUGGUGGCACUCUUCUAGAAAUCCUAAGGCAUCGUACGAUGUUAAACCAUUGAAGACAGGAGGCUUGCAUUUCUUAGAACUAUCAAGCCUGAGUUGCUUGUCCUCUGAAACAACUGACCCAUCCUCGGGAUGAACUGGUGCUGCAGGCGGUACAUGAGUGAUCUGUGGGACCUUUUCCAUAUGCACUCUCUUCUGUGGGGUGCGGGAGUUUAGGCCCCUCCCCUAGCCUGGGAUGUGGCUACAGUGAGGGGUAGCAACCCAGUCUGAGACAAUGUGGUGUACAUAGACAUGAAUUGAGCUAAUGUCUCCUGAAGGACUAGAGUAGUAGUACUAGUAGUAGUAGUAGUAGUUGUAGGCGUGUCAGGUGCCUGAACUCCGGCUGGAUCUACUGGUAAAACCUCAGGGACGGCUUGCACAGGUACUCCAAAUGCACCGCAUGCGCAUCCACGACCUCUACCCCAGCCCCUUCCUCUGGCCGCUGCAUUAGAAGGCGCGGGUGCCUGAUCAUCCCGAGUAGCAUGUGUCCUCCCAAUUUGUGAGAGAAUAGAAGACAGAAGUCUUAGAAUUGAUGUCAAAAUAUAGCACGACAAGGAAUUCAAUGAAGUGAAGAUUUUUCCUAAACAGUUACAAAGCCUCCUGUAGAUAAGUACAGAUGUCUCCGUGCCAAUCAGCGAGAACUUAAUAAACCAGCAUGUGUUCCGUAACUCCUAUGAACUUAGAGCUCUGAUACCAAUUUUCCACGACCCUAGUUCACCAUUCAUGAACAUGCCAUGACGGCACCUAGUCACUAUGACUAGGUAAGCCUGACUGUGCAGAAACAACAUCAUCUGUGGUAAAUAAUUAAAAAAAUUGUAUAUAAGUGCCGCUCAACAUAUACAUCUCAGCAUCACACGUCUGAAACAACAAUCCCAAAACUCGAAAACUCACGGGCAAAACAGGCUAUAGAAAUAUAUAAUAAAGGCUCUAAACUCCAGAAUCUUCUACAUCAAAGAAAGGCAAGAAGUUAAGCCCUAUAAGAUAGAUUAAAAGGGAGACUCUUCAGUCUGCGAACACGGCAGAUAUGCCUUAAGUAUUUGUAGCUCUCCCUGAUCACUGAUAGUGCGUCUGAAUUGAGAUACCUAGAUCUUCAUAUCAAAAACAUCCAUAGAAGAUGCGUGAGUACACCACAGCGGUACUCAAUAAGUGCCAAACCUAACCUCGAUCGAGUAUGUACAAGGAAGGUCAGGGCCCUACUGAGAUAAAACAUAAUAAAUAAUAAGAUAACAGAAACAGUUUAAAUAAAGUCUACAGCGAGGAUCCAAACAGCACAAAAGAGUAAAUGCAGUAAUAGAAAGCAGAAACUAGAUAAAUCAAGGGAAAUACAGCUCGGAACAUAGAUAGUAACCGAGGAUCUCCUGGUAUCUCGAGGAUCUCUCGGUAUCCUCAUCUUAUACACGAGGGAUAUUUUAGUAUCCCGAGGAUCUCUUGGUAUCCUCAUCUUAUGCAUGAGGGAUCUCUUGGUAUCCCCAAUAUAUAUAAAAUAUCUGUGCCGGGGAUCUUUUGGUAUCCCACACUCAAUGUUCAGAACAUAACACGUACAGGGGAUCUACCGGGAAACUGUCCCGUGUUCCCAAAUUAAACGCACAAUAACAACUUAUAAACCCAGGAUAAAUGCUAAAGUUAGAAAAAGUAAUAGUAAAUUCUAGCCUAAAAGGCUUCAAGGAGUACAAACAAUACAGCUAAACAAAUAAGCAAGUAAGUCAACCAAACAUGCUUCUCUAAGCUAGCACAAGUUAAACUCGCAAUCCAAAAUGAACAAGUAAACAAGAAUCUCCAUUUAAGUAUUUCAAGUAGAAACGGAUUUACAACAAUUAGCUCAAGUAUGUGUUUGUCACCUCACAUAAGAGGCAUUCAAAUGUAAAAGAUCGUGUCCUAAGGGGAAAGGUCCCCACACAAGGUUAUACAUGCCACUUACCUUGAACCGACUCAAAACUCAACUAGGAACCAUACCUUUUCCACGAGUAUGCGACUCCAAAUAGCCCAAAUAUAUUCAGUUCAAUUACAUAUCAUAAAUAACAUUGCAAACAACUUAUUCCGCUAUUAAAUUUAAAGCUAAGGCGCGAAAUUAGGUAUAAUAACCAAAAUGCCCCUCAAUCCAACAUUUUGAAAUCGAAUAAUUUUAACAUUUUCCGAAUUCUCGUACUCUCACGAGUCUAACCAUAUAAAAAUUUCCCAAAUUAGAGGUUAAAUGCCCACUAAAAACUCAGCAGAUUAGCAUAUGAAGUUUCACAAUUUUUUAUCCUAAAUUUGAAUUUUAAUAAUGGAUUUAACUACAAAAUGAUGAAAUAUAACUAGAUGAGAUUAAUGAAACGGUACCCAAUAAUCUUCACUUCAAAACAGUCUAAAAUUGCCCUUCCCCAAGCUCAAUUUGAUUUUUCUAACCUAUGAAAACUAAACCUCGAAUUUCCCUUUUCUGAAUAGUGAUUACCGCUGAUGCGGUCCCGCUUAUGCAGAAUUCUGGCCGCUUCUGCGAACUCCUUUAGAAUCCAACAUUCCGCUUCUGCGGUUCCCAUCUUGCAAAUGCAGAUUCGCUUAUGCGGAAAAUCCUAUCACUUCUGCGGUUCCCGAGGGAGAUGCCCAACUCGCUUCUGCCAUGGCCAGGGGUGCUUCUGCGACUUUGCUUCUGCGAUUUCCAAGCUGUAGAAAUGAAAAUACCAGAUGACUAAAACGUUCAGCUACUGCGAUAUUUUUCCAACUCCAACAAUGCCCCGUUGAGCAUCCGAAACACACCUGAGGCCCCCUGGACCUCAACCAAACCUACGGACACGUCCCAUAACACCAUUCAAACUUUCACCUAUCCUUAAAACACGUAAAACAACACCAGAAACUUGAAUUAAUUAAUCAUUUAAUCCUAAGAACUUCAAAUUUCAUCAAAACAUACUUUCGAUCAAAAACCUAUCUGAAACACGUCUGAAUGACCUAAAAUUUUGUGCACACAUCUCAAAAUACAUGGAAAAGCUACUGAAGCUUCCGUAAUCCCAUUCCCACCCUCGGAUAACAAAACUCACUAUCGGAUCGAAAACGUUAAAAAUUCAAACUUCGGCAUUUCAAGCCUAAAUGAGCUACGUACUACUAAAAUACAUUCCAGACAUGCUCCCGAUCUCGAAAUCACCUAACGCAGCUAAUGGAGCCAUUAAUUUUCCAUUCCACGGUCGUCUUCACAGUGUUCCAACUACGGAUCACUUUCCCAACACUUAAGCUCUCAUUUAGGGACUAAGUGUCCUAAAACUCACUGAAAUGAAAAACCGAACGUCCCAGCGUCCCAGCAAACCAAAAUAGCAUAAAUGAACUUAGAGGAAGUUGUUAAUGGGGAAUCAGGGCAUAAAUUUUAAAAAUGACCCUCCAUAUCAUUACAUUUCCUACAAAGGGACUAUGACGACCCGACCAGUCAUCUAAUGAGAUACUACCCCGUUCUUCUCUUUUUAUCCUUUAUUAUAUUUCAUUACCAGUAUUGAGUACGUUAGAAUUGAUUUGGAGUGAUUUUGAUAAGAAAUGAGACAACUACUCUCUUUAAGGAAGAAUUAAUUUGGAAAGGUCAACCGGACGUUGACUUAUGAGUUAGAGGAUUUGGAAUUGAAUUCUGAUAAUUCGACUAGUUUUCAGGGAUGAUUUAAGGCUAAGGAGCGCAAUCGAAAAUAAUUUUGGAGGUCCGAUGAAGCAGUUAGUCUAUUUUGGCGAAGUUAGUAUUUUGGCGAUUCCGGUUGACAGGUGAAAUUUUAUUUAGGUAGUCAGAAUGGAAUUCCAAGAAUUUCUGUAGCUUCGUUAUGUCAUUUUGGAAUUGUGUGAAAAACGUGAAGUCAAUCGGACGUGAUUUGAUAUGUUUCAGCAUCAGAAAUAGAACUUGGAAAUUCUAAAGUUCAUAAAACUUGGAUUGGAGGAUGAUUCAUAGUUUUUGCAUUGUUUGAUGUGAUUUGAGGCCUCGAACAAAUCCUUAAUGUAUUUUUGGACUGGUUGGUAUGAUUGGUCGGGGUCCUGGGCCCUCAGGUGUGUUUCGGGUUGUGAUCACGCCCUUAAUUGAUGUUCCAACGUCAUUUCUUUGGACAUAAAGGGAUACCAUAUUAUGUAAACGAGCUCCAAAUUCAGUUUUUUUGAACCAUUAGAUUUGUAUAAAUAUUUUUGAUCCAUAGAAAAAAGAAUCAUCAAAUUCCGAGUUCGUAUGAGAGAGUUAUGCUUAUUUCCGUGUCGGGAGAAUCUGGUUGAUGUCAGAACCGCAAAAGGGGAAAUUGACCAUGUAUGCAGGACUGAAAAAGCGAAAAGAUCCGCAAAAGCAGAAAAAGGUCCGCAAAAGCGGAAAUUUGGUCUGGGAAGAGAGAUUAAGUCCCGAAAAUGGCCUUUUCUUCACCAUUUUAUGUCAUUUUUGAUAGAUUUUGGACGGGAAUUGAAGGGAUUUUCAACUAAGAUCGAUUGCAGGUAAGUUUUAUGAGUUAAAUACAUGAUUAUAUUAAAGAAUCAUCUUAGAAAUCCAUUAAAACAUGGCUAAAGCAUAUGAAAUUAGGGCUUGAGAUUGUGAUUCUAAAAUGAUGAUUUGAGGGGUCAAAUGAACAACAAUUUUUAUGAAUUUGGUAUGUAUAGAGAGAUAAGGAAUGUUUUGAUGUAAAAAUUUCUGAAUUUCGAGACGUGGGCCCGGGGCUCAGGUUUUGCAAAUUUCGUGGUUUUUGAUACUUUUCGAGUCUUCUCGAUUGGGUUAUAUCCUCUUAGCCUAUUGUGACGUAUUCGCUCAUAUUUUAGUUAGAUUCGACACGCGUGGAGGUUGAUUUGAGGGGAAAAGGAAUCGCGGGCUAGAGAUUUCACCGAUUCGAGGUGGUUUGAAACCCCCGACGUUGUUAGAAAUCAUAUGCUUCCUCAACAACCAUCUUUAGAAUGUCCUAUCUCUCUCUAUUCAACGCUUUAAUACGAAACCCGUCCAUAGUUCGAAUUUCAGGCUGCAACUCGCCUGCAUGAAGCUUGCACAUCAUAGUGUUGUAUUGAGGUGACUUGCACGCCGGAUAGGAGCGUGGGAUAGAGCACCAUUGUGGAUUGUGACUUAGUCCGUCCAGGUUGUUGAUUUUACUGCGUAUUUGACUUAAAUUACUUGUUAUCAUCAUAAUUUGGGUUGGUCUUCAUGUUUGGGGCCUUGUGCCGACUUGUAAAAUCCUUCGAGGAUUGAUAUUACUGCGUAGCAUGAUUUGCAUAUCAUCUAACUUCAGUCAAAGGUUUUAAAUAUUGUUUUGCAAACCCAGCCGUAUUUCUAAGUUUUGAAAACUUAAAUGAUAUUUUAAAGGCAUUUUGGGCUGGAAACUUCGAUUUUGUAAAUGCCUAAGGGGCUUACUAUAUUAUUUUCUGGACUGAUAAUAAAGUUACUUGAAACAGUGAUAACAAUGACACUGUAAUAUAUACUCGAAGCAGUGGUAACAAAGACACUGUAAUAUAUACUUGAAAUAGUGGUAACAAUGACACUGUAUGUUACACUUGAAAUAGUGGUAACAAUGACACUGUAAUAUAUAGUUGGAGCAGUGGUAUCAAUGACACUGUAUGAUAUAAAUUGGUCAGGUAACAUUGCCUGACCGGACAGGUAACAUUGACUGACCAGUAUAUUGCGCUUGAGCUGUAGGAGCCCCUCCAGAGUCUGUACACACCCCCCAGUGAGCGCCGCCGCCGAUAAAUAAAUAUAGAUGGCUCGGCCUGCAUGCUGCACUGGGUACUGCAAUGUACCAUCAUACGCCUUGCAUUGCAUUCAUGCAUUUGUUCAUUAUUUGUUGUUUGUGAUAUUUAUGGAGAUAUUUAUCUGCUUUUGCUGGUGCUAUCUGCUCCUUGAGUGUUGGGGCCCGAGUGGCUGACCAGGAACGAAGAUAUUGCCCGAGGGGAGGGUUUUUGUGCAUAGUGACACUAAUGGCUGGAAUUAUUUUGCAACUGCUAAAAGGAUUAUUUUCGAAAGGGGUUUAAAACUGAGCCUGAUAUUGAAUAAAGGAUUUUCAUGGAAUUAGAUUUUUCAAAAAGGGUUGUACCGUCUUAUAUAGCAUGAUAAAUGUUCUUACGUGAUUUCUUAUUGCUAGUUAUUAUUUACUCGUAUUACCACUGAGUUGGAAGUACUCAUUUUACUCCAUGCACCCUGCAUGCAGCUGCAUGUAUCGUUCACCCGAUAGCGGGGUAUUAGCGGAUUGAAGAAUUGUUAUCGUAACUGAGCCAACCAGGAAUGAAGAUAUUGCCUUAGGGGCAGGUUUCUGUGCGUAGUGACACUGAUGGCAUGAAUUAUUUUGCGACUGUUUCAAGGAUUAUUUCCGAAAGAGGUUUAAAACUGAGCUAGAUAUUUUAUAAUGGAUUUUCAUGGAAUUACUGUUUCCAAAAAAAGGUUGUACCGUCUCAUAUAGCAUGACGAAAUGUUCUUGCGUGAUUUCUUAUUACUCAGUUAUUAUUUACUCUUAUUACCACUAAGUUCGAAGUACUCACUUUACUCCCUGCACCUCGCGUGCAGCUACAGAUAUUGUUCACCCUAUAGCGGGUUAUUAGCGGAUUGAAAAAUUGUUUUCGUAGCUGAGAUAGGUGACCGCUAGUGUCUGUGGCAGCGGAUCUUCUCCCUUAUUUUAUUUUGUUUAUAUUAAUUUCAGACUUGUAGUUCUUUAGAAAAUUCUGUAGUAGCUCAUGAUUAGUGAUACCGUGAUGUCGGGCUGUGACGGGAUGGUUCACAGUUGGUAUUAUUGUUUUCCGCACUAUUGAUUAUGCUAAUCAUGUUUUAGCUUUAUAAAUGUUAAAUAACUGUUAAAAGGAAGAGUUUGUUUUGUUGGUCAGCCUUGUCUUCACGAGUGGCGUCAUCACAACCAGUUUAGGAUUUGGGUCAUCACAAGUUGGUAUCAAAGCCUAGGUUACUAGGUCUCACAAGUCAUGAGCAGGUUUAGUAGAAUCUUGCAGAUCGGUACGGAGACGUCUGUAUUUAUCCUCGAGAGGCUACAGAAACUUUAGGAAAAGUUCACUUUCUUGGAAUUCUUAUCGUGCAUACCUGAUUCAGCUUGAUAUAUACCUCUUGAAAUUCCUUCCACACGUAGUAUAUGUCCCUUGAUGGCUUGUGCUUCCCAGAUCGAGGGGGGCGAUAUGUAAUCUCCGUGAGUUUGAUGUUGGUACAGUCUAGAGGACUUGAGGCCGGAUCUUUGCUUAUGGCUUGAGCACUAAGGUGUGGAUUUUAUGAGUUGGAGUUAUGAACUUAUAUGUUCAGUUUUGUCCCAAAUUGUGAGAAUGGCGGCUUUAUAGCUAUGUAAUGAGUAUGUUGGUACUGUGUAAUAUGUAUGUCAGUGGAAGGUAUACAAAAACAUGAACUAAAGGUAAAGCUAAUAGGUAAUUGGCUCAUGAGGGGAAACCAUUUGUCAUACUAAUUAGAUAAGUCUGGGAGCUAAGAUCGUUUUUGUAAAUGUAUUAUGACAAAAUCUGUGUCGAGGAGCACACCUUGAAGAUCGAAAACAUUAAGGAGAAAAUAUGUUCUUACUCGGUUGAAUAUCCCAAUAAUGGAGGAUCGAAAGGUAUCUUCUAUGUGUUACGAUUUAAAUAGGUGCAACCCAUGUCCAUGUAUCAAUUUUGAUAAUAUAAUACAUAUAAUAUUGAGAUUAAUAUUGUUGAUAUACAUUGUGAUGCUUUGUCAAGUUGUGGACGUGUUGUUAGGAUGGUUUUGGUGAUUCUCUGGCAGGUGGAUAUGCCCAGUUACAAAGGAAACUCUGCCAAAAGUUUUGAAAAUUUUGGGACUUAGUAAACAUUUUGUCGCCUAAAGAGUGGGAUUAACUGUUGUAUGAAUGAAUGCAAGAAUUGUAGAAGAGUUAAUAUUUCUGAUGAUUCGUGUUUCGAAAAGCUUGUUAAAGAGUGAGUUUAAUCCCACCAUGAUAUAUAUGGCUUCAAGCUAAGUUGGGAAGGUCGCUGUUGAUUGGCUGAUUGUACGGUUAUGUACUAUGUUAGUUCCAAUUUAAUGCAUGCUGGUGAGUCGGUUCUGGUUGUGGAAAUUUCGUCGAGAAUGCCAGGUGUGAAUGAAAAUGUUGACAAGAUGUCACGAGCUCGGAUGAGUAGGAGAUAAGUUUUGAUGUUUACGGUAAGUUGGAAUUAUCUUCAGCGUCACCUAAGAUCGGUGUUUUGUAAAAAAGCUUUUGCAUCCUGGUUAGUUCCGAUUUGAUGCAUGCUGGUGAGUCGGUUCUGCUUGUGGAAAUUUGGCCGAGAAUGGUAGGAGUGAAUGAAAAUUUUUACAAGAUGUCACGAGCUCGGAUGAGCAGGAGAUAAGUUUUGAUGUUUAAGGUAAGUUGGCAUUGUCUUCAGCGUCACCUAAGAUCGGUGGUUUGUAAAAAAGGUUUUGCGUCCUGGUUAAUGAUUUUUUUAUCCCUCUUCAGCAUUAGUGCGACCAGUGAUUUGGAGGUACGCUCUAGAAACUUUUGUGGUAGGUUGUCGGAGUGUGACCCACUGGAACAUUUUAUAAGUGUGGCAUGUGAUCACUUGAUUGAUUAAAGAUGUAAACUAAGUAGGAAGUUUGGGAUGGUGUCAUUAAAUUAAAGAUUCACGCCUGGAGGGCACUAGGCAUAUUAGGUUGUGAACUGGGGAGGAUUACUCCGAUUGUGAUGGUUGUUCUUGAGUGUUAUGAGAAAAAUUAGAAGUUAUUAUGGACCUUUGAAUGGUUAGUAGACUAGUUCAGUGUGAUCAAAAUUGGCCUGAAGUCGAUGGACAGAUUUAAUGUGAAUAAUGGCUUUAUAUCAGGGUUGAUGGGUGCAUUUUAGUAAUGUGGUCCUCAUGGGGGAAUAGCUAGGUUGAUGCUUCAUUGUUAGAUAUCUCGCAUAGUGAUGCAUUACGCCGUGUGAUUUGUGAAAUGGCUCGAGAAAUGUCUUAUGUGUUGAGAGUCCGCGUAGGAAUGAUGCUACCUGAGCAACUUGGCUCUUGAAACUCAGAUUGUAUAUCGCACCUCAGUUGUGCUUGAGUUUAGUAGCUUAUAACACUAUAUGUACCUCAGAGAUAUUAUUAUGCACUUAGCAUACUUAUGACCGAUACUCAGUAUUUUGUUGUAACAAGAAAUUUGGCUGGAUGCGCAUCUCCUUAUCUGAGAUCUAUGUGUGGAUUGGGUGGCACGCUGCCAUGGGUAUGUUAUCUAGAUCGGGUUACAUGCCGCAACAGUGUGAAAUUGGGUAUAGUUUCUCUAUAUGCUAUCUUUGUAUGCCUUGCGUCCUGUUUUCCAAGGAAGUCUAUAUUAGUGUGUAGGAUUUGGUAAUUCCUUCUAGAGAUCGUUUUCUUUUGUAUUGCGAUCAAAUUGGUAGCCUAUUGGCACAUUAGGGCAUCAUAUGCGACUCCUAAUUAUGUAUGGAGUGGAUUAUUGCCCGAGCAAUUCAUAUUGGGUGAGACGAGAUUAUUGAAUUUGAGAUUACUGCAAUAUGAGUAUAUGAAGUAAAUUAAAGAGCUAAGAACCAUUAUUUAGCUCAGAAUGAGGUGAUAGUUCUUCCCAAGAGUAUAGAACUAAUGAAUUGUUGUGUCGAUAGUAGUUACGAAUGCGUACAGGUCUCAUCUGUCGUGUCGGCAUUGUAAUAAUUUGAACAAGACCUAUGUAUGUCAUGCGGAUAAUGGGAUGUGCAAUGAUUCAUCUAGAAAAUGGAAAUUCUUGACUAGUUGAGUACGUAAACAUUCAUGGUUCGGAAGGAAGGUGAAGUCCUCAUGUUACCUUAGGAUGAUAUGGUAUAUGUGAUAUAUUGUGAACGAUUGAGAAUUGCGUGUAUAAGGUAAUAGUUUAGUUCUGAAUGGAAAUUCAUAGCAUUCUUAGGCAGUACGGGCAGCUUCGGCUGAUUAGAGAAGUGAUCUUCAGAUGAUUAGGGUGAAUGAUCUUCAGAUGAUUAAGGAAAGUUUAGUUUGAAUCAUAGUGAUUGGUAAAGGUUACAUGUUCUAGAAAAAGGGCCAAUGUGACUAAGUUGAUGACACUUCAAUAGUAUUGGGGUCAGGUAUGAUGAUGCAUGUGCUAUAUGGGGUUGGAGACUGGGAGUUCUCAUAUACAUGCUAUAUUGUGGUUGUGGAUCGUGUGCGUCGGUACUGUUUAACGUCUAUAAGGAUUUCGAUACCUGAGUGGAUUUUUCAUUGCUUUUGGGUAUGAUAUUUGGGUGUAGAUGGGUUGUUUAGUGUUGGGUGAUUUUGACCAUUGCAUUAGGGGCUAUGCCGGAAAUUCCAUGGAUUAAGUGGUGAAGUGCGUUAGAAUAUGUUUUAGCAGAAUGAUUGAUAUUUCAAAGAACCAUCGGACAACUGGGAAAGGUUGCUUUCUUAAUUGGCCUUCGUGAUGGAUGUCAGUGCAUAGGUGUUUUACGUGGAAUAAGUGUUUGGAUGGGAACGCACGUGCAACAAAGAAAUGUGCAAACAUGACCUUGCAGGUUAAAUUUGUGUGUUCUAUUCUAUGAUGUGAGACGUAUCCGUAGCCUUGUGUUGUGAUGGUACUGGCAAGCUUGAGGUAUAACUCUUUCAUUUGAGUCAUUUUUCAUGACCUGUAUAUAUUAAGACUAUUGCUUUUGGGUGCGCGUAGUUAUGCAUGAUAAGGAUCAGGCCCAUAUUGAUGUGUCAUGUCACCAGGGUAGUGUGUUAGGUCAGAAGAGAUCGUUGGGAUCAUUAAUGAAUACAAUCAGAUUUGAUUUCAGCUUGUCGAAAGGAUAGAAUCGAGGUUCGACUCGAAAUCCGCUGUGGUAUUAGUCCAAAGGGAAAGAAUGCCUUCAUGAAAACUAUUUUUUAUUGGUGCGCGUAUUGUACGAGUUGUGGCUUAGUCCUGUAUUAAUGUGUAAUAUCGCCAGAGUGGUGUGUUGGGUUUGAGGUGAUCGUUGGGGACAAUGAUAAAUAGGAAACAAUUUGAUUUCAGCUUGUUAGGAGGAUAAUAUUUAGGUUCGGCUCGGAAAUCUGUGGCGGUAUUAGUCAAAAGGGAAAUGGCUUCAUAAGUGGUCGAUCUAAGAAAUGAUUACGGUUUGCUGUGUGUCUCAUUUAUUGUUGGCAGUAUAUGAAAGUGUUGGAAUAAGACUUUAGCUAAUAAGUGAUUUUCUAUCGGCAUUUGGUUUUUGUGGGAAAUUGCUGGGAAUAGAAGUUAUUGUUUCGAGUUCUUGGAUUAUGCCGUAUAUCAUAUGAUUUCACCGGAGGUAGCAGGUAUGGGUAUUACAGCUCGUUCGAGAUUAUUCAAGUAUAAGUGUAAGUGUUUGAUCAUAUUGAUGGUUUCAGAAGUAAAAAGGUAGUUCUAUGAUUUAUGGGCGAGGCUGGAUUGUGUAAUUUUGAGCAGAAUGUGUUAUCGGUCCUAUAUGAGAUAGCGUGACGCAGAAUCACCCCGGAUUUGUACCUGGUAAGGUUAUUGUUAGACAUUUGGAACAACUCUAGCCACGUUCGAGGACGAAUGUUUGUUUAAGUUGGGGAGAAUGUGACUGUCACAACCGAAAAUCCCAACCCGGUCGUGAUGGCGCCUCUCGUGAAGAAAAGGCCAUCCAACAACCAAACAAUAUAUCUUUUUAUAAAUUCUUAGCAGGAACAAAUCUAAUUCACAGAUAAUAUGAUAAUAAGUGCAAAAUAAACAUGAUAGUACAACUAAAACAAUCCCGACUCAGCCCGAAAUCGGGGUUUCCCAAGUCAUGAGCUACUACAGAGUUUACUAAUAUUUUACAAGUCUGGAAUAUCAUAAUAACAAAAUAUAAGGGAGAAAACGGGGUUGCGGACGCCAACAACUAUCUCGUUACUCCUAGUCACCGCCUGGUCUGGAAAGAAUCAGCGCUCCAGGAGAGAACUCAGCUUUUUCCUGUAUCUGCACACAUGGUGCAGGGAGAAAUGUGAGUACUCCGAACCAGUGGUAAUAAAAUAAAUAACAACUGAAAUCAUGAAAUCUCAUAAAGACACAAUAUAGCGCUAUCUCAAGCAGUAAAAACAGUUAUAUAUUAUAACAACAUAUAUCAGACAAUUCUCUUUUGUUUUAAAAUAAUAAAGACCAUUUAUUUCAACAGUAAGGAAUGACCAAAAGCUAGCCCCAUUGGCUCAAUAUCAAAAUCACAGUAUAGUAUCAGCCCCACGGGCUCAUUCACAACUCACCAGCACAAACAUCAGCUCCUCGGGCUCACUCCCAACUCACCACACACAAACAACAGCCUCUCGGGCUCACUCCCAACAUACCUUGGUACCAUGUGCUCACUGGGGGUGUGUACAGACUUCGGAGGAGCUCCUAUUUGCCAAGUGCAAUAUCAAUAUGCCUUAAAGCCUCCUCACAUAACACUCGAGGCCCGAAAGCCUCCUCACAUCACUCAACAUAUCCUCACAUAUGGCCCUCGGCCUCAAUCAAUCUACAAAGCCAUUUGGGCAUCAGUAAAAUAAUGAUACUCAACUCAAACAACAUUAUAAAUAUUAUUAAAUCUCGAGUUGAGUAUAAAUGUAGCUGACUUCACAAAAUAAUAUAAUUCAAUUCGUCUGAGUUCAAAUAACAUUUUAAUUGGAGAGGACAAUAGUGAUGUAAUUCACAAAAUAUUCCAAAUAAUUGGCACAAGGCCCAAGUAUGGAAAUAAACCCAAAUCAUGGUAAAAGAAAGUAAUUCUUUAUUAAAUACGCGAUAAAAUAUCAGCUAGGAUAAACCAAGUCACAAUUCCCAAUAGUAGAUGACCACGCGCUCGUCAUACAACACGUGUCUCAUCUUAACAUAGCAGUAUGUUGUGCAAUCCGGGGUUUGAAACCCUCAGUGCGUUAUUUAAAAUCAUUACUCACCUGGAACCGGCAAAAUAUCUAGCCCGUGAUGCCCAUUCUCCUCAAAUCGGUCUCCACACGCGUUGAAUCUAUCCAAAUUCAGAGCGAAUACGUCACAAUAUGCUGAGGGAAUAUAACCAAAUCGAAAAGACUCGAAAAUUAUGAAAUUUGCAAAACCUGAGCCCCGGGCCCAUGUCUUGAAACCCAGAAAUUCUACAUUAAUACGAUCCUUAUCUCGCCACGAGUCUAUACAUACCAAAUUCACAAAAAUCGGAGUUUAUUUGACCCCUCAAAUCACCAUUUCUAUCCAAGAGCGUUUUCUACCCUUUUCAACAAAAGUUCUCAAAUUAAACACCAAAACUUGCAAUAGAUUCGAGUUAUACAACCAAAAUUGAGUGAAGAACACUUAUCCGGCUGUUCUGUAAGAAAAUCUAUCCAAAAUUAGCCCAAACAGAGCUCCAAAUUGGUAAAAUAAUUUGAGUUAAGAACACUUACCCCGUUGUUCUCUAAGAAAAUCUGUUCAAAAGUCGCCCAAACCGAGCUCCAAAUUGCUAAAAAUGGAAAAUGGGAACGAAGUCCCAUUUUCACAAAAUGAACAUUUUGCCCAAAAUUUUCGAGGUACUAUUCAUCUUGCGCACUGUUCACCCGUGUUACUGUUCACAUGGGUACUAUUCCUGGAUACUGUUCAUGGGUACUGUUCACGGAUACUGUUACGGGGUACUGUUCAUGGAUACUAUUACGGGGUACUGUUCAUUGCUGCAGAAAAUACAACAACUUUUUAAGAAAUUUGCAGCACAUAUAUUUUUCAAUAAAAUGGCUCUAACUCCACCAUACGAACUCAGAAUUAGACGAUUCUUCUUAUUAUGAGUCAAAAGUAAUAAUACAAACACAACCCUUCAACUUAAACUCAAUUCGGAGCUCGUUUGCGCAGUUCAAUACCCAUUUCGCUCGUUAAACAAUUAACUCAUAUUUCGCGUCAAAAACCCAAUUGCGACUUGAUGAAAUUAAACCAAAAUUCCCAGAUCAGUCAUAUAAUUCAUAAUUUAAAUUAUGGAAGUCUCGAAAUCAUAUUUCGAUCUCAGGAACUAAAAAUGGACCUUUGAAUCAUUACAGUUUUAUGCUCAAAACAACAAAAAUCUUUCAGAAAUGACCAGUUGGGCAUCCGAAACAAACCCGAGGCACCUGGGACCUCAACCAAAAGUACAUAUAUGUUUUAAUACCUCAUUCAAACUUGAUCAAACCAUUAAAAUAUUAUCGUUAACAUAAAAAUCACCAAAUUUCAUCAAAUAAAAGCUUGUGUUAAACUAAAACUUCCAAAACAUGCAUUCAAUCAAAAACCCGAUCUAAACACCUCCGAAUUAACUGAAAUUUUGCAAACAAGUCCAAAAUAACUUAAAGAAGCUACUGGAACUAUCGGAUUUCCAUUCCGACCUCUGGAUCAAAAUUUCACCUAUCAACCGGAAAUCGCCAAAAUACUAACUUCGCCAAAAUAGGCUAAUUUCUUCACCGGGCCUCCAAAAUUAAUUCCAAUAGCGCUCCUAUGCCUUAAAUCAUCCCCCAAAGCUAAUCGAAUCAUCGGAAUUCAAUUCUGAGCACUCUAACUUACAAGUCAAUAUCCGGUUGACUUUUCCAAAUUAAUUCUCCAUAUAAAGAGACUAAUUGCUCCAUUUCCUACAAAACUCGAUCCAAAUUGACUCAAUUUCACCAAGUACAUAUAUUGAAACAUGAAUAAGCAUUUAACGGGGAAUAUAGGACAACAAUACAGGAAACAACGGUUCGGAUCGUUACAUUCUCCCCAACUUAAACAAACGUUCGUCCUUGAACGUGCCUAGAGUUGUACCAAAAGACCAACAAUUGCUUAAUAACCUUACCAGGUAUAAAUUCAGAGGUGAUUCAAUGUCACCCUAUCUCAUAUAGGUCCGAUAACACAUUUAAAUUGAAUUUACACAAUCCACUCUCACCCAUAAAUCAUAGAACUUCCGCGUUGGCUAGGUAAGCGUCCUGUAGUAAGAGGAGUAGUUAUGAACCCUGUAGACCAUCCCCNNNNNNNNNNNNNNNNNNNNNNNNNNNNNNNNNNNNNNNNNNNNNNNNNNNNNNNNNNNNNNNNNNNNNNNNNNNNNNNNNNNNNNNNNNNNNNNNNNNNNNNNNNNNNNNNNNNNNNNNNNNNNNNNNNNNNNNNNNNNNNNNNNNNAGAAAAAGGAAUAAAUAUAGUGAUAAUUUGAUUCUUCGUCGCCGUAGUAAAUAGGAGAGAAAAUCGAAUUAAAUUCUUCGUUUUUACAAAAAAAAAAAUAGGAGUAAGCUUGUGACACGUUCACUAAAAAAAAUCUCUUUUUAAUUCUAAAACUAUCAAAAUGAGCAAAAUCUCACAUAAAUACUUGAAUAGCCUCGAACCAGCUGUAAUACCCACACGUGCAACCUCGGUGAAAUCAUAUGAUAUACUGCAUAAUCCAAGCACUUGAAAUGAUAAUUUCUAUUCAUAACAGUUGCCCACGACAACCAAAUACCAAUAGAAAAUCCCUUAUUAGCUAAAGUCUUAUUCCCACACUUUCAUACACUGCCAACAAUAAAUGAGACACGCGACAAGCCGUAACCUUUUUUUUUCAGAUCAACCACUUAUGAAGCCACUUCCCUUUUGACUAAUACCACAACAGAUUCCCGAGCUGAAACUCGAUAUUAUCAUCCUAAAAAGCCGAAAUCAAAUCUGUUCUUAUUCAUCACUACCCCCAACGAUCACCUCAAAUCCAACACACAACUCUAGUGGUAUAACACCCCAGUAUAGGCCUAAGCCACAACUUGCAUAAUACGCGCACCAAUAAGAAACAGCUCGAACAUACUCGAAUCAUGAAAAUGACUCAACUGAGAGAGUCGUACCUCAAAUUCACUAGUACUACCACAACACAAGGCUGAGACCCUAUCUCACAUCAUAUAAAUAGGACACACAAAUUGGACAUGCAAGGCCAUGUUUCCACACGGCUUUGCUGCAACGUGCAUCUUAUCCAAAUACUACUCCACAUUACCCUGUCUCACAUCAUAUAAAUAGGACAUACAAAUUGGACUUGCAAGGCCAUGUUUCCACACGGCUUUGCUGUAACGCGCGAUCUUAUCCAAAUACUACUCCACAUGAAACACCUCAAGUCACUAUGCUUGAAAUCGGACACACAUAUUUGACCUGCAAGGUCAUGUUUCCACACAGCUUUGCUACAACGCGCGAUCUUAUCCAAAUAAUACUCUACAUGAAACACCUCAAGUCCCUAUGCUUGAAAUCGAUAACCAUGCUCAAUUGAUGGCUGGAGUCAGAGCAAAUCAUUACACCUACGGUGAAACAAAUAACACAUACCACGCAAACCAGAUAGAACAUAAUCCAACUCAUAUCGCCACUCAACCCGUGGCAUUUCCAGCAUAGCCCAUGCACAAUAGUUCAGAAUUGCCUAACGCUAAGACAACCAGUCUAAAUUCUGACAUCACAUACAAAAUCUAAAUACCAACAAGUAAAGAUCCACUCGAGCCUCCAAGUCCCGAUAGUCAUUAAACAGUACCGACGCACACUAUCCACAACUACCAUAUAACAUGUACAUGAGAACUCCCAGUGUCCAACUCCAUAUAGUACCCUGAGCCUCCAAAUCGUGAUAGUCGUUAAACAAUACCGAAGCACACGAUCCAGAACUACAAUAUAGCCAAUACAUGAGAACUCCCAGUCUUCAACUCCAUAUAGCACACACAUCAUCAUACGUGAUCCUAGUUUCCACCGUGCAAUACACGCACAUAUUUGAUAAUCCUUAAUUCCAUGAUACAUUCUAGAUAUUUACAUGUGCUUCCGAGCAAACCCGAAUACCACCAGUGGACCCAACAAGAACAUGCCGCAAUAUUACUGAAAUAUAAUUAGUUUAAUCACAUUGCCCCUUUUUUGAGACAUAUACUCUCAUCAAAUCACUUCCACUUAGCAAUAUAAUUUUCCCAAAUCAUCCGAAGAUCAUUUAUCUAAUCACAUAGGAGGAAUCACUACACAUCUCAUGCUCUGCAUGACAUACACAAGUCUUGUUCAAAUUCUUACAAUACUGACACGACGGAUGAGAUCUGUAUAAAUUCACAACAUCGCGGAAUCAACAAUUCAUUGGGUCUAUUAUUCUUGCAAGAACUAUCACCUCAUUCUAAACCAAACAAUGGUCUUAGACCCUUUAAUUACUUCAUAUAAUCAGAUUGCACUGAUCUCAAAUUUGAUGAUCUCCAGAAGGAAUUACCAAUCCCACGCACUAAUGCGGACUUCCAAAAAAAAUAGGAAGCAAAUCAUACAAAAUAGCAUAUAGAAACUAUACUCAUGAUCAAACUAUUGCAGCGUGCAACCCGAUCCCGAUAACAUACUCGUGGCGGCGUGUCACCCAAGCCACACAUAGAUCUCACAUAAGGAGAUGCACAUCGAGCCAAAUUUGCUCAUUAUAACAAAAUACCGAGUACCGGUCAUAAGCUUGCUAAGUGUAUAAUAAUAUCUUUGAGGAACAUAUAGCGCAAUAAGCUACAAAACUCAAUCACACCUGAGGUGCGAUUCACAAAUCUAAAUUUCAAGAGCCAAUAUGCUCAUAUAACGUCAUUCCUACAAGGAUUCUCAACACAUAAAAAUAUCUCAAGUCGACUCACAACUCUUAUGGCACAAUGCAUCACUACGCGAAAUAUCUGACAAUGAAACGUCAAUAUAACUACUCCUCCAUGAGGGUCGCGUUACUAAAUUGCACAUAUCUGGCCUGAUAUAGAGCCAUUACUCACAUUAAAUUUAUCCAUCGACUUCAAGCCGAUUCUAAUGGCACUGAAAUAGUCUGAUAACCAUUCAAAGGUCCAUAAUAACUUCCAUUACCUUCAUAAAACACAAGAAUAACCAUCACAAUAGGAGUAAUCCUCCCCAGUUCACAACUCAAUAUGCCAAGUGCCCUCUAGGCAUGAAUCUUUAAUUUAACUACAUUAUCACAAACUUCGUACUUGGUUUACAUCUUUAAUCAAUCAAGUUUGGUUUACAAAUUUAAUCAAUCAAGUGAUCACAUGCCACACUUAUAUAAUCUUCCCGUGGGACACACUCCCACAACUUACCACAACAAUAUCUGGAGCGUACCUCCAAAUCACCGGUCGUACUAACGUUGAAGAGCGAUCAAGAAUCUUAAGCAGGAUGCAAAACCAUUUUUACAAAACACCGAUCCUAGGUGACACUGAAGACAAUACCAAUUUACUGUAAACAUCGAAACUCAUCUCCUGCUCAUCCAAGCUCAUAACAUCUCGUCAAAAAAAUUCCUUCACUUGUGCCAUGCUCGACCAAAUUUCCAUAACCAGAACUUAUUUACGAGCAUGCAUCAGACUCGAACCAAUAUAACAUAUAAUCAUGCAAUCGACCUAUUUAAUAGCAAACUCCCCAACUUGGCUCGAAGCGAUAGAUCAUAACACAUACACUCUAUUAUUGUCAUAAUGCCAUGGUGGGAUUAAACUCACUCCUUUAUAAUCUUGUGAGAACACGAAUCAUUAGAAAUUUUAACUUUUCUGCAAUUUUUGCAUUCACUCACACAAUAGUUAUGCCCACUCUUUAGGCGACAAAAUUUUUACUAAGUCCCAAAUUUUCAGAAAAUUUCGGCAGAGUUUCCAUUGUAAUUGGGCCUAUCCACCUUCUAGAGAAUCAGCAAAUCCAUCCUAACAACAUGUCAACAACUUGACAAAGCAUCACAAUGUAUAUCAAUUACAUAAAUUUCAAUACCACAUGUAGUAUACUAUCAAAAUUGAUACAUGGACAUGAGUUGCACCUAUUUGAACCAUAACACAUAGAAAAUACCUUUCAACCCUCCAUUAUUGGGCUAUUCAACCAAGUAAGAACAUAUUCUUUCUUUAAAUACUUUUGACCUUCAAGGUGAUCUUCUUGACCCAAUGAUUUCGUCAUAAUACAUUUACAGAAGCGAUCUCUUUCUUUAAAUGUUUUCGACCUUCAAGGUGGUCUCCUCGACUCAAAGAUUUUGUUAUAAUACAUUUACAGAAGCGAUCUCAGCUCCCAGACUUAUUUACCUAGUAUGACAAACAGAUUCCCCUCAUAAGCCAAUUAUCCUCUAGCUUUACCUUUAGUUAAUAUUUAUGUACACCUUCCACUGACAUACACCUUACACAAUCACUUAAUAUUACUGAGUCUAAACUCAUACCGUAACAUGAUACUCCACUCCAACCAGGAGACAUAAAAAAAUCUUCGCGCGCCCAUAACUUGGGACUACACAUCCGAUCACCAUGGAAAUCAAACACUCCACAGUUCAUCAAUCAUCCAGUAGACCUUCCUCAUCAAAUAGAUAGAUCUCGCAAUACUAUCAUACUCCUCAGGUAACAAUCCAGCCAUCAUUCCCACUAAUAGGGACAGUACUGAACAUAUAAGUUCAUAACACUAGCUCAGACAAUCAACAUCCUGGUGCUCAAGCCAUAAGCAAAGAUUCGGCCCCAAGUCCUCCAAACAGGACUAACUUCAACUCACAGAGAUUACGCUUCACCCCUCGAAUGGGGAAUCAAAAGCCAUCGAUGCACAUCUGGUACUGAGCGCUCACGUGCGCAUUCUGACAUAUUGAAGAAAUUACAAGAGGUAUAUCUCAAGCUGAAUCAAGUACGCACGAUAAGAAUUCCAAGAAAGUGAAGUUUUCCUAAAGGUUAUGUAGCCUUCCAAGGAUAAAUACAGACGUCUCUGUACCAAUCCGCGAGACUCUACUAAUCCUGCUCAUGACUCGCGAGUCCUAGUAACCUAGGCUCUGAUACCAAUUUGUCACGACCUAAAAUCCCAACCUAGUCGUGAUGGCGCCUCUCGUGAAGACAAGGCCAGCCAACAACCAAACAAUACACGAUUUUAUAAAUUCUUAGCAGGAAUAAAUCUAAUUCACAGAUAAUAUGAUAACGAGUGUAAAAUAAACGUGAUAGUACAAUUAAAACCAUCCCGACUUAGCCCGAAAUUGGGGUGUCACAAGUCAUGAGCUACUACAGAGUUUACUCAUAUUUUACAAGUCUGGAAUAUCAUAGUUAAAAAAGAUAAGGGAGAACUACCUCGUUACUCCUAGUCAACAACUACCUCGUUACUCCUAGUCACCGCUUGGUCUGGAAAGAAUCACCGCUCAGGAGUGAACUCAGCUCUGCCUGUAUCUGCACAUAUGGUGCAGGGAGUAAUGUGAGUAGUCUGACCCAGUGGUACUAAAAAUAAAUAACAACUAAAAGCAUGAAAUCUCAUAAAUACACAAUAUAGCGCUAUCUCAACCAGUAAAACUAGUUAUAUAUUAUAACAGCAUAUAUGAGAGAAUUCUCUUGUUUUUAAACAAUAAAGAGCAUUUAUUUCAACAUUAAGGAAUGAUCUAAAGCUAGCCCCUUAGGCUCAAUAUCAAAAUCACAGUACAGUAUCAUCCACACGGGCUCAAUCGCUACUCACCAGCACACAACAUCAGCCCCUCGGGCUCACUCCCAACUCAUCACACACAAAGAACGGCCUCUCGGGCCCACUCGCAACUCACCUGGGUACCCUGCGCUCACUGGGGGUUUGUACAGACUCCGGAGGGGCUCCUACAGCCCAUGCACAAUAUCAAUAGUCUUGAAAGCCUUCACACAACACACUCGAGGCCUGAAAUCCUCCUCACAUAACACACUCAAGGCUUGAAAGCUCCUCACAUAACACUCGAGGCCUGAAAGACUCCUCACAUCACUCAACAUAUCCUCACAGAUGGCCUUCGACCUCAAUCAGUCCAGAAAAUAAUCAUAAGCCCUUUGGGCAUCAGUAAAAUAAUGAUACUCAGCUCGAACAACAUUAUAAUUAUCAUUAAAUCUCGAGUUGAGUAUAAAUGUAGCUGAGUUCACAAAAUAAUAUAAUUCAAUUGGACUGAGUUCAAAUAACAUUUUGAUUGGUGAGGGAAAUAGUGAAGUAAUUCGCAAAAUAUUCCAAAUAAUUGGCACAAGGCCCAAGUAUGGCAAUAAGCCCAAAUCAUGGUGAAAGACAGUAAUUUUUUAUUAAAGACGCCAUAAAAUAUCAUUUGGGAUUCACAAUUCCCAAUAGUAAAUAACCUCGCCCUCGUCAUACAACGCGUGUCUCAUCUCAACAUAGCAGUGUGUUGUGCAAUCCGGGGAUUCAAACCCUCAGUGCGUCAUUUAAAAUCAUUACUCACCUCGUACCGGCGAAAUCUCUAGCACGCGACGCCCUUACUCCUAAAAUCAGCCUCCACGCACAUCGAAUCUAUCCAAAUUCAGAGCGAAUACAUCACAAUAUGCUGGGGGAAUAUAACCCAAUCGAAAAGACUCGAAAAAUAAAAAAAAUUAUGAAAUUAGCAAAAAACCCGAGCUCCGGGCCCACGUCUUGAAAUCCAGAAAUUUUUACAUUAGUACGAUCUUUAUCUCUCCACGAGUCUAUACAUACCAAAUUCACAAAAAUCGGAGUUCAUUUGACCCCUCAAAUCACCAUNNNNNNNNNNNNNNNNNNNNNNNNNNNNNNNNNNNNNNNNNNNNNNNNNNNNNNNNNNNNNNNNNNNNNNNNNNNNNNNNNNNNNNNNNNNNNNNNNNNCAUUUCUAUCCAAGAGGGUUUUCUACCCUUUUCAACAAAAAUUCUCAAAUUAAACACCAAAACUUGCAAUAGAUUCGAGUUAUACAACUAAAAUUGAGAUAAAACACUUACCUCUUUGUUCUCUAAGAAAAUCUGUUAAAUAUCGCCCAAACCGAGCUCCAAAUUGCCCAAAAUUUCCGAGCUUACUGUUCAUCAUGCGUACUGUUCACCCGUGUUACUGUUCACAGGGGUACUAUCCACGGAUACUGCUACGGGGUACUGUUCACUGCUACAGAAAAUACAGCAGCUUUAUAAGAAAUUUGCAGCACAACCAAUUUUAACUAAAAUGACUCUAACUCCACCAUAAGAACUCGGAAUUAAACGAUUCUUGUUCCAAUGAGAAUAAAAUAAUAGUACGAACACAACCCUUCAAUUGAAACUCAAUUCCGAUCUCUUUUGGUCAGUUCAAUACCCAUUUCCCUAGUUAAACAAUUAACUCAUAUUUCGCGUCAAAAACCUAAUCGCGACUUGAUGAAAUUAAACCAAAAUUUUCAGAUCGGUCCGAUAAUUCAUGAUUUAAAUUAUGGAAUUCUAGAAAUCAGAUUUCGAUCUUAGGAAUUAAAAAUGGACCUUUGGAUCAUUGCAGGUUUAUGCUCAAAACAACAUAAAUCUUUCAAAAAUGACCUGUUGGGCAUCCGAAACACACCCGAGGCACCCGGAACUUCAACCAAAAGUACAGAUAUGUUUUAAUACCUCAAUUAAAUUUUCUCGAACCAUAAAAAUUUAUCGUUAACAUCAAAAUCACCAAAUUUUAUCAAAUCAAAGCAUAAGUUAAACUAAAACUUCCAAAACAUGCAUUCAACCAAAAACCCGACCUAAACACUUCCGAAUCAACUGAAAUUUUGCACACAAGUACAAAAACACCUAACGAUGCUAUUGGAACUGUAGGAAUUCUAUUCCGACUCUUGGAUCAAAAUUAUACCUAUCAACCGGAAAUCGCCAAAAUACUAACUUCGCCAAAAUUGGCUAAUUUCUUCACCGGACCUCCAAAAUAAAUUCUGAUGGUGCUCCUAAGCCUUUAAUCAUUCCCCAAAACUAACCAAAUCAUUGGAAUUCAUUCUGAUCCCUCUAACUUACAAGUCAAUGUCCGGUUGACUUUUCCAAACUAAUUCUCCAUUAAAGAGACUAAUUGAUCCAUUUCCUACCAAACUCGAUCCGAAUUGACUCAAUUUCACCAAGUACAUAUAUUGAAACAGGAAUAAGCAUUUAACAGGGAAUACAGGAUGAAAAUACAAGAAACGAUGAUUCGGGUCGUUAUAGUGAUGACCUGACGGUUCGGGUCAUUAUAGUGACGACUUGACCUGUCGUCUAAUGGGUUACUAUCCCGUUCUUUCCAUUUUCUGCUUUUUUAUGUUUCAUUACCGGUAUUAGGUGUGUUAGAUUUUAUUUGGAGAGAUUUUGAUAAGAAAUGAGACAACUAGUCUCUUUAAGGAAGAAUUAAUUUGGAAAAGUCAACCGUACAUUGACUUAUGAGUUAGAGGGCUCGGAAUUGAAUUCUGAUAAUUUGGUUUGUGUCGGGGGAUGAUAUAAGGCUUAGGAGCACAAUUGGAAUUAAUUUUGGAGGUCCGACGAAGAAGUUAGCCUAUUUUGGCGAAGUUAGUAUUUUGGCGAUUCUCGGUUGAUAGGUGAAAUUUUGAUACGGAAGUUGGAAUGGAAUUUCCAGAAUUUUUGUAGCUUCGAUAUGCCAUUUUGGACUUGUGUGCACAAUUUUGAAGUCAAUCGGACACGAUUUGAUAGGUUUCGGCAUCGAAAAUAGAAGUUGGAAAGUCUAAUGUUCAUAAAACUUGGAUUAGAGGUUGAUUAAUGGUUUUAGCAUUGUUUGAUGUGAUUUGAGCCCUCGAACAAGUCCCUAAUGUGGGUUGGGACUGGUUGGUAUGAUUGGCCGGGUUCCUGGGGGCCUCGUGUGUGUUUCGGGUUGUGAUCACGCCCUUAAUAGAUGUUCCAACGUCGUGUCUUUGGACAUCGAGGGGUACCAUAUUAAGUAAAUGAGCUCCAAAUUCAGUUUUGUUUAAACCAUUGGAUCCAUAUCGAAAAUUCGGAGCUAUAGGAAAAAGAAUCGUCGAAUUAUGAGUUCGUAUGAGAGCGUUAUGCUUAUUUCCGUGUGGGGCGAAUCUGGUUGCUAUCAGAACCGCAAAAGCGGAAAUUGACCACAUAUGCUGGACCACAAAAGCGGAAAUAGAACCGCAAAUGUGGUCCCAGAUAGGCCAAAAAUGCGUGCAUAAGACAAAAGGACCGCAAAAGCAGAAAAAGGUCCACAAACUGGGCAGAGAGUUUAAGUCCCGAAAAUGGCCAUUUCUUCACCAUUUUAAGUCAAUUUUGAGAGCUUUUGGAAGGGAAUUGAAGAUAGUUUCGACUAAGAUCGAUUUGAGGUAAGUUUUAUGAGUUAAAUACAUUAUUAUAUUGAAGAAUCAUCCUACAAAUUCAUGUGGGAAUUGACGGAGGUUUCAACUAAAAUCGAUUGGAGGUAAGUCUUAUGAGUUAAAUACAUGAUUAUAUUGAAGAAUCAUCCUAGAAAUCCAUGAAAACAUAGCUAAAUCAUAUGAAAUUAGGGCUUGAGAUUGAGAUUCUAAAAUGAUGAUUUGAGGGGACAAAUGAACUCCGAUUUUUGUGAAUUUGGUAUGUAUAGACUCGUGGAAAAAUAAGGAACGUCUUGAUGUAAAAAUUUCUGGAUUUUGAGAUGUGGGCUCGGGGCUCGUAUUUUGUAAAUUUCACGGUUUUCGAUAUUUUUCGAGUCUUUUCGAUUGGGUCAUAUCCCCUUAGACUAUUAUGAUAUAUUCGCUCUGAUUUUUGUUAGAUUUAACACAUGUGGAGGUCGAUUUGAAGGGAAAAGGCGUCGCGGGCUAGAGAUUUCACCGAUUCAAAGUGAGUAAUACUUGUAAAUGAUAUCCUGAGGGUUUGAAACCCUAGAUUUUUACAUCAUAGUGCUGUAUUGAGGUGACUUGCACGCCGGAUAUGAGCGUGGGGUAGAGCACCAUUGGGAAUUGUCUUGGUCCAUCCGGUUGCUGAUUUUACUGCGUAUUUGACUGAAAUUACUUGUUAUCACCAUAAUUUUGGUUGAUCUCCAUGUUUGGGGCCUUGUGCUGACUUGUAAAAUCCUUCGAGGAUUGAUAUUACUGCUUAGCAUGAUUUUCAUAUCAUCUAACUUCGAUGCAAGGUUAUAAGUGUUGUUUUGAAAACCCAUCCGUAUUUCUAAGUUUUGAAAACUUAAAUGAUAUUUUAUAUGCAUUUCGGGUUGGAAACUUUGAUUUUGUAAAUGCCCAAGGGGCUUACUAUAUUAUUUUCUGGACUGAUAAUAAAGUGACUUGAAACAGUGGUAAAAAUGACACUGUAAUAUAUACUUGAAAUAGUGGUAUCAAAGACACUGUAAUAUAUACUUGAAACAGUGGUAGCAAUGACACUGUAUGUUAUACUUGAAACAGUGGUAACAAUGACACUGAAAUAUAUACUUGAAACAGUGGUAACAAUGACACUGUAUGAUAUAAAUUGGUCAGGUAACAUUGGCUGACCGUUCAGGUAACAUUGACUGGCCAGUAUGUUGCGCUUGGGCUGUAGGAGCCCCUCCGGAGUCUCUAUACACCCUCAGUGAGCGCCGACGACGAUAAAUAAAUGUAGAUGGCUCUGACUGCACGCCGCAGUGGGUACUAGAAUGUACCAUCAUAUGCAUUGUAUUGCAUUCAUGCAUUUGUUCAUUAUUUAUUGUUUGUGAUAUUUAUGGAGAUAUUUAUCUGCUUUUGCUGGUGCUAUCUGCUCCUUGAGUGUUGGGGCCCGAGUGGCUGACCAGGAACGAAGAUAUUGCCCGAGGGGAGGGUUUUUGUGCAUAGUGACACUAAUGGCUGGAAUUAUUUUGCAACUGCUAAAAGGAUUAUUUUCGAAAGGGGUUUAAAACUGAGCCUGAUAUUGAAUAAAGGAUUUUCAUGGAAUUAGAUUUUUCAAAAAGGGUUGUACCGUCUUAUAUAGCAUGAUAAAUGUUCUUACGUGAUUUCUUAUUGCUAGUUAUUAUUUACUCGUAUUACCACUGAGUUGGAAGUACUCAUUUUACUCCAUGCACCCUGCAUGCAGCUGCAUGUAUCGUUCACCCGAUAGCGGGGUAUUAGCGGAUUGAAGAAUUGUUAUCGUAACUGAGCCAGGUGAUCGCUAGCAUCCGUGGCACCGGAUCUUCUCCUUUAUUUUAUUUUGUUCAUAUUAAUUUCAGACUUGUAGUUCAUUAGCGAAUUCUGUAAUAGCUCAUGACUAGUGACACCCCGAUGUAGGGCUGUGACGGGAUGAUUCCCAGUUGGUAUUAUUGUUUUCCGCACUUUUGAUUAUGCUAAUCAUGUUUAGCUUUAUAAAUGUUAAAUAACUGUUAAAAGGAAGCAUAUGCUUUGUUGGUUGGCCUUGUCUUCACGAGAGGCAUCAUUACGAUCGAAUUUGGAAUUUGGGUCAUGACAGGGACACGGUGCUUGGGACCGAGCCCGACUAGAUGUAAAUGACAUGAUGCAAAUAAAAAUGGCCUAAAGGCUGUACUAAAUAUGGUGUUCACUAACAAGGCAAUUCGGGGGAGCGUAUGGUGGAUGGUCGAUGCUAAAGCUUUCCACUCACUCCAUACAUCUGAUGGCCCCCUCCUAAUUUAAGGGUGACUCAACAAAGAGUUCGUGCACACAAUGCAUGAUCUGCUACCUGUUGCAGAAAGAAGACGUAUGGUUAGGCAAAUGAUGACAUUUUAUAAAACAAUAACACAUUAAAAAAUCGAAAAAAAUAACCAACAAAACAAGAAAAACAAGACAAACAAAGAAAAUAAACCAAACAAAUAAAGAAAACAAACACCUCAAUCGAAUAUCUUAAAAGUCAAUAAGGUACUAGCUCGAACCCGCAACUCCCCAACAGAGUUGCCAGAGAUGUCACACCCUUUUUUUUAAGAUAAACCUCCCUAAACCUUCUUGAAAAUAUUAAAAACAUUUAGUGAAAGCUUGGAAAGGAUUUUUCAAAUUUGAAAGCGAUAAUAAUUUGUUCAAAAGGGAAUAAACUCAUAGUCACCCCCUAACAUGAUUUUGGUGUGGUCACCAUUUUUUCUAAAAAUAAUAAUUUUCCUUUAAAAAUAAUUUGAACUCUAAAACUAUGUCUAUACCAUAGAUUUGGGUAAGGGGGUUCGUUCAUUUGACUCAAGGAGAAGGUGUUAGGCACUCCCCAAGUCCCGUGAAGGUCACAGUUGCACACUCGAUCUAGUUGGCUAUUAAAAUAUUCGAUUGAGGUAAACAAAAACAAAAA
rnacentral:lncRNA from 1 species